CAGAGUAUAGUAGAGAGCGGACGUGUGGUCCACCAGGCCUUGACAUGAUGAAAUGAUUUCUCUUAGAACAAAUGGAUAACCUCCGUUUUGCAUAUGUUGUGCAAUUUGUAGGAUGAUAAUCUGGAUCAACACCAUAAUCUGAAUCAUCAUAAGAAGCAUCAAAAAAGAAAUUAUGUCCAGUUACUGAAUGAAGAAAAUUUUCUUCGUGACAUCUCAGCAAGCAUAAAGUACGCAGCAGGUCAUGAACACAACAUGUUUUAACUCCACCAUUGGAUCUGCUUUUCGAAGCUAUUACUAGGCUUCUGCCAAUGAGGUCCUUCAAGUAUUCCUCUGCAAGAUCUUCCACACGUUUUGACGCCGUACUUCGUACAAAUCCUUCAGCAACCCAUAACCAUGUCAACUUUCGGACUGGAAUUUCUUUGUUCUCAAGAAAUGCUCCAAGAUAGAGAAAGCACGGCUUCAAAUAGUCAGGCAAAUGCUUGUAGCUUAGCUCUAGGAUCUCCAUGCACCUUGUUUGCGGAUCACUGGCAAUGCGUGAGCAUAAACUUUCUGAUACUUUUUUCCAUGAAUCUAGAGUCAUUUCAGUUCUUUCAAGGAUACCAGAUACUGCAACAAUUGCAAGAGGUAGUCCUUGACAACUUUUGGCAAUUUGGUUUCCAACUGUCACCAGUUCAACUUGACAAUCUCUGGUCUUGAAUAACUUCUUCUGCAACAAUUCCCAGCUUUCAUCAUGGGAGAGUAGACGAAGACGAUGAGGAAUUCUAUCUGCUUUAAUUUCCAAAGCCACAUCAGGGAGACGACUUGUGACUAAUAUUCUGCUUCCAUUUUCAUCAUUUGGGAACGUUCUUUCUAAAUCAUGCCAUGGUUCAGUGCUCCAGAUGUCAUCCAUAACUAUGAGAUACCUUUUUCUCUUGAGACAUUGAUAUAACUCUAAGUCUAGAUCAUCAUCACUCAUUUCAAGGAUACUAUCAGUAAUAUCCAUAAUGCCACCCAGCAUUUCGAGCAAUAAAUCUCUUUUGCAGUAUACUUGAGACACAGAACACCAUGCACGAAUAUGGAAGUGAAAGAUAACUGAAGGAUCAUUGUAUACCUUCCUGGCCAGAGUCGUCUUACCUAGCCCAGGCAUACCAACAAUCGAGACAACAUCUUGCUGUCGUGAUCCUCUUGUAAGCCUAUCAAUCAUAAUUUUGUUCUGAUCAGCAAGAUCAAUGACCUCUUCAUCAAUUUUGGGAAUUUUUGCUGGCGAUGUCACCUUUCUCAAUGCCUCGGGACCAUUAGAGAUAUUGAUACCGCAAGUCUUCAUAGAGAUCUCUGAAGCCUUAAUCUUAAGAAGCCUGAUAUCUUCUAUGAGAUCAGUAACCCAUAGCGCAUGAUACCAUAAAACACCUCCUCUAACCACCAACGAAUCAACAAGGUAUUCCACCUCAUAUGCCACUUGUAUAAUGUGUGAAACAAGACAUUUUAUAUCCAAGUGCUGAGUCCACUUUUCUCUAAUGUUGCAGAGUAUCGACCUCAAGAAUCCCAUCUCUCUAUGAACAAUAUGAAUUGGAUAUUUCAGAGAACCAAUCGAUUUAGCUUUGGAGUUCAGCAGCUCCAUCAAAUUUCCUAUAAGAAAAUCCAUAAAGCCAACUCCCUCAGGCUUGGGGAAACAAGAUUUAAAUGAGCUUCGUGCUCGCAGAUAAAUCUCUUUUAUCCCUGCAUUGACAGGCUCAAUCUUUUCUACCAACUCUGGAAGCAAAAGAACAAGAUUCGUUGCCAUGUCUUCUGUGACUUUCUUGGCAGCAACUGAGUAAAUAACUGAUAUUACGUGCUUGACCACUAAUUCAACAUGUGCCAAGAUCAAUUUACCAUCCUCCUCCAGUGGACCCAUAAGAAAAGUUCUGAGGACUGUCAGCCCCUUGUAAAGGGUUUGUAUUUGAUUCUGCACAUCGACCGUCAUAUUUGGACGACUGUUUAGAAGCUCGUGCAAAAGUAUCUCCAUCUUGAAAAGUUUAAUCCUCUCAAGCGACUUGAGAAGCUCAAAGGUGACCUUGUCUUUGGUUACUGACUUGCGCAGAAAUGCGAGAUAUACAUUACCAGCAUUCCUAGCUAGAGAUCCAAUAUUUUUCCAUAUGGGCUGAGGAAUUUCCCUGCCAUCAUCUCCUAGAAAAAUCUGUAAAAAACUUAAUCCAUCAUGGAAAGAAUUAAUUCGGUUCUUCACGAAAGACUUCUCCACUAUUCCGGGCUGUAGCAACUCGGUGAGGAACAGCUCUGCAUUGAGACGCUCCAUCUUUUCGAGCAACCUAAAAAGUAGAGGAUAAGCAUCCUUAGCGAGAUCUGCUACUGUUUCCUUAGCAUGAAAUAAGUAGCUGAAAGAUCCAAGCUCGCUAACCAUUUCUAUAAUAUCCAUUGAAAGCAGCUUUACAUCAUUGUCUGUGUAAAAAGAUGGUGGCUGGAUGACCAACAUUAUUAGGUAUUUGAGCCCUUUUUGAAGGGUCAGAAGCUGAUUCUUCUGAGGAAUGAGAAAUCGGACAAACUCUUCACAAUUGUAUUUGUGAUCCUCCAGUAACUUGAAGCAUAUCCUUGUAACUUGUGAAGCAUUAGGCUUUAGCUUUUUCAGUAGGUCAACAAGCUUAGGAAUGAUCUCAUUUUUCAUGUUUUCAUCCAAGCCAUCAAUCCAGCACACAUAAGAAAUAUAUGCUGUUUGGACAAGUAUUGCUCCAAAAUGAGCCAAGAGGUGUCUAUACUCUUGUUGGUUAGCAUUCCGAUUCUCUACCGCCAUAAAGCCCCUUAGGUUUCCUAUCAUCUUGGCCAUGACUUGGAUGUGCGGCUUGAUAUGCACAUGAAAUGUGUCCUCUCUAGACAGAUCUACCAGAUUAUCCAGUAGAGAGCCAGAGAAUUCAUUCCAGGGAACAUAAUUACUCAGAGGAGAGUAAGAAACCAAAGGAGACUGGCAUUGAAAUGAACAGAGCUCCUGCUUGGAUGAAACAUAAUCGUAAGCUGCUUUAAUCAGUGGCCUGAAAAGCUUGAACUUUUGUUGCCACUUAGAAAUUACAGGAUACAAGUACUCGACACUUCUUUGAAUUUCAUACGCAGGCGGAGAUCUAAAAUCUGUACUUGCCUCCAUGAAUGCAGCUUCAAGAUCCUGGACUAGAGACUGCAGCAACAGACCAACAUCUUUAUGAAGAUCAUUCCAAAUUCCAACGUAUAUCAGAAACGUUCUCAACAAUCUUAAUUCUACUUUGAGAAUCUGAAUUUGUUUGUGUGCAUCUUUUUCAUCUUCAUCUUGACUUUCUGACAAGUUCCACCAGUCACCCAGUUCCAUCAGGAGAAAAUUCACAGCAUUAGUUGGACUGCGAUCAGCUUUCUUAACAAGCUUAGUUAGAAAUUCCAUCAGCAGAUCCUGCAAGAAUAACCAGACAAAUAAAUUAAAUCUAGUUUGGGUGAAGGGAUUUGGAAAAAUAAAAAGAAAGAAUCUAUAAUACUUCAACCAAAAAAAAAAAAAAAGCUAUCAUACUUGAGCAAAUAUUCAGUCAUAUUACCACCUAAUGCAAAAGCUAAAAUUGGUCCAAUACGCAAGAAAUGGAUAGUUUCAACAUUGAACUUUAUAGUUGAUGAAAAUUAGAUACAUCAGUAGAUUGGUACAUACUUUUCCCAGAAAACUGGCAAUGGAUCUUGAUUUUAGCAAGAUUUAAAGCUUAUUCCUCUUUCUUCCCAGUUCACUCUAAUCAGCAAUCUCCAAGGGGCUAAAUAAAGAAAUUGAUCAUUGUGACGAAAUUUCUCUUGUACAGUUUUUGUCAACCAAUUAUCAUUUCGCUUUAAUUUUGGGUGGUUGAGGCCGUUGCAGGCCCCUCCUUCGGUCCUAAUCUUUGUGUUCUAUCUUCUUUCGGUCAUAUUUGCCGUCUGUCUUUUUUGGAGUUAGCUAAAUUUCUUCUUCUGUAUUAUAAGCAUCCGGAGCUAAAAACUUGUAAAAGGUGUAAUUGGUGCAGCCCCUGCCCCUCCCCCAAUGCGAGCUCAACAGUAUAUUGCAUUUAUGCACGAUGAAAUUCAAUAAUAGUUGUACAAAUUAAUAAAUGAAUAAUACUCCUAUCCAUUCCUACCUAAUCCAUUAAGGUAUAAUUUGUUCUGAUGUGUGUGAUUGAUUAUAAAUUUAAUAGGCGUGACAACUUUAAGUUAAUUUGCAUUCUACUUGGUGUAAAUAGUAGUCGUAUUACCUCAAUUUUUUUGUAAAAAAAAAAAAUGAAGAGGGCAGAAAUACUUUAUUUCUCUGAGGGGCUAAAUUACCUUUACAGUCUAAGUUUCAACAUACGCGAGGAGUAUUCGCAAAAGAGGCAAAUGUGACAGGGAACUGACAAUUUUGUGCAAAAUAAAUGUUUAAACCAAGUGGAAGGGUUAACAAUCGCAACCAAUCUUCUAUUAUACAAGUAGGUGUUGUGCUUCUCAAGUUGGUGUGACUCUUGCACUAUUUAAUGCAUCUUCCUUAUGGGUACAAAUUAAUAUUUGGUGUAACUUAUACACCAUAUUAUUCGUUUACACCAACUCAGUGAAAUGAUACACAAAAUAUUACAAGAUUUACACUAAUCAAACAGCGCAAUGGGGAUGUAACGCAUAAAUGGGUAACAAAAGAUUCAAAUCCGUUAAUCACUCAUUAGCAAUUUGAUCAAAAGCACAAACCCAUCUAUUCCACAGAUAUCAUUACUAAGCAUAAUAUUUACUAGCCGUGGCCCGUGUAUCUCACAGAUAUCAUUGCUAAGCAUAAUAUUUUCAAGCCGUAGCGGAGGCAGUGCUUGCAAUUACUUUCACAAAUGCAUUUCAAUAAAGAAUGCAAACAAAAUAAUGUCAUUGAAGUUUACAUAUAUAUAUAUAUAUAUAUAUAUAUAUAUUAUUUUAUUUAGGGGUUUUCUAACCUUUUGAUUAGAUUAAUCCCCUAAGAAUGUGUAAAACAUUGCCCCAAUGAUACACAACGAGGUAGCACACGGGUGUCGAUCAUGGGAUCUACUGGUAACUACAAGGUUGCGGAACCAGUCGGACUACUUGCAGAGCCAUUGAAGUUUAAUUGAAACGUAUUCAUAUUAUCUCUAUUUCAGUGGUGGUGUUUUAAAUUUUCAAUAGGAUAAAAGCAAAUGGAUAAUUUUUUUUAAAAAAAUUUUGUUGGGCAACAAUAUAAGAGGUAAUGGAAUUUUCAAGAAUUGCAGGGGGUGACAAUGCAAGACAAAUUAACAACAUUACAAAUUUUUACUUGCCACAUGUUUAACCUUUUUAAUGUACAAGGGGACAAUUUCCCACAUCCUUUUCAAGUCCUUGGAACCCUAAGCCAAGAGAGUGUAAUUUCAGGGCAGAUGCGCAUACUAAAUAUGCCUUAUAAAGACCUUUUGAUGAGAAAUGUAGGCACUUAUCUACACAUCAUUUGCAUUCAAAUUUCUUAUUGUCCCGUUCUGACUAAAAUCGCUUAUUAGAUUUGAAUUUUUUUUAGACAAACAUUACUUAUUGUCCAGUUGUGAAUUUCUUUUGACGAGAAAUUUGUGCUGAAAUCAUAGUUGGUUAAAUAUUUCUCCUUAAUCCUUUUACUGACAAAACAGACGUUCAAAUGGCAGUUUAAAGAAAAUUAAAGAUGAAUUUCGAGUGCACCUAAUCAAAGAUAAAUUAAUCUGUACCAAAGCAAUAUGGCAACACUAUCCCUUUUCGUCCUUCGUUUUCCUUGUUAUACUAGCAUCUUGAAAAUUCUCUAUUUGAGAGCAGAAAUGAAAGAUGUGUAGCCAAAGGUGAGUUGCUUUGCCUCUAUAAAAUUUGAGAACUUUUCUUUAUUAAUCCAUUGCUUGUAAUUUUAUUGAUUUGCAGUUUCAAAUUUUUCUGCUUGUUCUACGUUCGAUUUAUUCAUUGUCAUUAAAAGGUAACAUAGAGGUUUUAUGUUGUUAUAUGUAAUCAAGACUUUGUAACUUACAAUUUGGGUAAUUAAUUCGUAAAAUCUGAAAUUCCUUUGGAUUCUAAAAUCCGUCAACUAUGGAAAAUGUUCCAUUAGAACUCCGAUCAUCUUUCAAUGCCUUUUCAAUUUCUUCUUUAUCACUUGAUAAUGUAUGGGUAAAUUUUGUCUCGUAGAAAUUGAUAAAAUUUCAAAUCCUUGAAUUUCUUUUUUGAAUCCUUGGAUUCCAAUUUAAGCUCUACAAAGAACACAACCUAUUGAAAGAGUGAUGCAUUGGUCCAACCAACGUCCACAUCGAUUCACAAGCCCCUCUUGUAGGUGGGUUACUUUCUCUCUUUAAGUAGGGAGCCAAAAUCACCUUUGGUGGGUGUCUUGAACUUGCUUUUUCAAAUUUCAAAUUUCACGCACUUUUCUUAAAAAAAAAAAAAAAACAAAUAACAAAACAAUAUACCUUCUUAGAUCCUUAUUGCCUUCUUCAUCAAUGGUGAAUUCAAUGGAGUAAUAACGCUUUAUCAUGAUGUUUGUUUAUCCUCUCCAUUUGGUGUCCUUCUUUCCAUUGUUUACAUUCAUUCCAUGGUAGGAUGAUUGACACUACUACAAAAAUAGUCUUUAAUGACACAUCUAUUAUGACACUUUUAGAAAAAUGUCAUAAUACAAUCUUAAUAUGACAUGCAAUAGGAAUGGUCAUUAAAAAGAAAAAAAAAAACACCAUAACGACGUCGUAAUUGGAAACAGAUUGAAAAAAAAAACAGAAAAUGCUGAAACUCUCCACUAAGGCGUCUUUUUUUCAAAAAAUUUGUAAGCCCUUCUCCAGAACCUACCUGAUCUCAAGCUCUACUCUUUCAUUCCCCAAUUUUUCCUCUCUGGAUAAAACCAAUCAUUCCAAUUGAAACGUGUGAUCUGGAGCGGAACAGCGCAGCAGUGUCAAAACACCCAAAAUUACCAAUCGGAUCGCUGCAAUAGAGAGAGAGAGCCCCCAAUUCCGGAAAGCUCUUUCGAUCGAAUUUCCGAUCAAUUUUCUAGUUUGUAACCUAAAAGCGAUCUUAAUCUGAAGAAAAAUGUCAUCAACUUUUAGCGGCGAUGAAAUUGUUCCUUUUUUUGGCUUCCUCGGCGCGGCUGCCGUCCUUGUCUUCUCCUGUACGAUCCCUAACCCUAAAAUAGAUAACUACGUUUACAUUUUUUUUUUAUCAAAUUUCAUGUCGAUUUAUGUUUUUCAUUUUUCCUAUUUAUUAUGGGAAUUUAGGCAUGGGAGCUGGUUAUGGGACAGCGAAGAGUGGGUAGGAGUGGAAUCAAUGGGGGUGAUGCGGCCAGAGCUUGGGAUGAAGUCGAUUGUCCCGGUUGUUAUGGCUGGUGUGCUGGGUAUCUACGGUUUGAUUAUUGCUGUCAUCAUCAGUACUGGAAUUAAUCCUAAGACCAAAGCUUAUUACCUCUUUGAUGGCUAUGCACAUCUUUCUUCUGGCUUGGCUUGCGGUCUCGCUGGCUUUUCCGCGGGAAUGGCCAUCAGAAUUGUCGGUGAUGCUGGUGUCAGGUAGUUUAACUUGUUUUUGUCCUGAUUAAAGAGAUGUAUUGUCUAUUUGUGUUGGUUCUUGCAGCUAUUUUUUUGCUGAUGUUUGUAAAUUGUGCUUCUAUUGGUUGGAUAUCUGUGUCUGACUAACUAACUUACAUUUAGUUUAGGCCUUUUUUGUUUGAAACAUAUAUCGGUUUCACUUUUUGGAGCUUGCUUCUGCUCAUUUUGCUGGGAUUUCAGGAUAGAGUCCCUUGUAGAAUAGUAGAGCUCAUGAGAAUACAUGGUACUUCUAACAGAUGUUAUAAGGUACAUGUUAGUAUGGGAUAAGCCUACUGCAUCUGAGAUUGUUUGACUCUAAUUAGGGGCUUGUCUUCCUAGAAAACUAUGUGAAUGUGUUAUAAGGUUUUUUUGGUCUCCAUGUUUUAUUGUAACUUUACUUCAGGGUUAAUUCGCAUUUCCAUAUUGUAUUACUAUUCGUGCUCCUUAUCUUGUGGAAUUUCUGGUUUUGUAAUAAAUCGGCUUGCUAUUUAUUGUUGCCUAUUGAAUUUCACUAGAAACCUAAAGAUCAUGAAGUGAAGUAUGGUAGUUGCCUUUUUGCAUUUCAACCUGCAUUAGAUAGAUGAUUGUUAAUGAACUUCGGUAGCUGACAAACUAGUGGUUAUGUUGACUUUCUAAACAUAGUAGCUCUGUACCAUUAGUAGACAAACAUGUAGAGAUCGUAAGCUGAUGUGAAGAAACUUGAUUUUGUUGCAAAGAUAAAGGUAGUAAGUAAAAUUAUGAAACUAUAAUUACGAGAAACUGUCUCAAAUGCCAUUGUAAAGGGCAUGUAUUAAGUUAGAGGAUCCAAGGGUCUUGGGUAGGCCUGACUUCCUCAAUGCCCAGAUUCUGCUACCCAAUUGGCAAGCUCAAUGUCAAUGUCAGUGCCCAGAUAUGUUGUUCCUUAUAUUAAAGUACCUAAUACUUUCCAGUUUCUUUGUAUUUUAAUAUUUGUUUCAUGAACCUACUUUUCAAUGUAGUUGUGUUAAAAAAUAAAAAAGAAGAACAAGAAGAAAGAAAGAAAGAGAGACUUGAAUCUCUGAUGCUUUACAUAACUUAAAAUAGUCCUUAUCAUAAAAUACUUAUGGCGGGUAAACAUGCAAAAAAGAAAAGUAAGUGUUGUGAGGUUACUUUGAAGGACUACUCUUUAGUGAUUGUGUCCUUCUAUUGCUUGUUUCAACUGAUAAACUUCUUGCUCUGCUUAUUACAACCUGUCAGUCACCUUUGGGUUGUAAUUAGUAAAAUGGUUUCCCACUCUUAGCAUAGUCUUUAAACUUAGAAUAGAAAAGCUUUUAGUUUGAUUUUUGUUCAUUUAUGAUUUAUGAUGAAUCUCCUGGGCUCAGCAGUUAUCAUGCUGUUAUGCACCAUUAGUGAUUUUCUGUAUCUAACGUUACUUAUUUUAUGUCCACUAUCAAGUGUGCUUCAGAAUUUUUAUGUUACUACUGCAGAGAAAAUGCACAACAGCCAAAGCUUUUUUGUUGGGAUUAUCCUUUCUUCCCGAGCAGGCCAAUCCAGAGCUGAUUGAGAAUUUUUAUUCCAGUUUAACUUAUAAGCUGGAAUAUUUUUGCUUGUCCACGUGUAGGGAUCGGAGUUAUGCUAGUCACGGAGUGGAUUCUUUUUCUCUUAUAUUUGCUUGUGUUUCUUAUUCAUCAUCUCAUUUGCCUGCGUGAAUUGUAAUUUGUCUUGUUUGGUUUACGACACUUGUAGGUGAGUAUUGAAGAAAACUAAAGCAACAUUUGGGUCAAGUGGCAGUUUUUUGAAGACAUCUUCCUUGCUUUGUAGUUGAGUUGCUGUUAAAGGUGUCCUUCAUAUGUACACGACUAAUUUAAAAUCAUCUAAAUUAGUAUGUAAUUUGUAGACACUUUUGGUGUGGAUUUUUUGGAUGAUGUACUUUUGCUCAAGUUUGGAUGAUUGUAUUGCUUCUUUUAUAUUAUUGUACUAGCUACGUUACAAUCCUUCAAAAUUUAGGAUCUGAGAUGCUUGUGCAGCAGGAUGAAAUGUGAUUUCUGACGUUAGAUAAUAUGCAACAUGAAGUUGGAACACUUUAAUUUGGAUGCUAUACUAACAAGUAGAAAAUGUCAUAAAGGCCUGAUCUAGUUACUCUUCAAAAGUGUCAUAAUAUUUCUAUCUACUUAUAUUUAAAAAGUGUUGUGAUAUGUUAUUGUACUCAAGCAUUUCUUGUCAUUAUAAAGUGUCAUAAUAGGCAUAAAUAAUGACAUUUAAUAAUGUCAUAAUAAUGAUAAAUUGGGACACUUAAAACUGUCAUAAACCUAUCGUGAUGCGAGAAUGGAUGACGCUAUCAGUAAAGCGUCAUUAUAGCCUAAACGUCAUGACAUAGAUCUAUAAUGACGCUUUUGAAUGUCAUAAAAGGACACUUUUGUAGUAGUGUGAAGAUGGCAAUAUCGAAGAUUUCUAAGCUAAGCUUCGAUCAUCCUUCUUUUGAGCUUGUUUUUCUGUUAGAGUUUUCAUUCCAGGUUCAAUUUCCAUUUACAGGUCCGAUUUUCCAUUUCAGAUCCAAUUAUUUGUUUCUAAUUCCAUUUUCAUUUCAGUAAUCUAGUUACUCGGCCGUGUCGGUCGUUUCUUCCUAUUUUCCUUUGGAUUUUAUUGGUGUUUCUUAUGCUUUCACAUUUCUGGUUCUAUUUUUGGACAGGUUACUGGUAUUGAUCUUCAUUGUGUCUGUGUUUGGCUGGGGAAUACCCUUGGUAUUGGUUUAGGAUGACUGAGGAAUUAGAAGAAGUUUUGAGAAAAUUUGCUCUAACUGAAGAGGAGGUCGAUGGUGUUGAAUUGGAUGGAAUAGAUUUGUUUUAGGGAGUAGCAGAAUGUCAGAUGAGUAUUAUUCGAAAAGUGGUGGGGGAGAAGUCUGCAAACAUAUCAGGUAUUAAAAGUUUUACGAAUAAUAUGUGGCCUUUUGCAAGGAAGUGAAAAGUAGUUGAGAUUGGGGUUAAUAUGUUUCAGUUUAUAUUCAAUAAUACUCAUAAUAUGGAGCAGGUACUAUGGGGGAGACCAUGGAUAUAUGAUAAUUUGCCGUUGGUAGUAUUACCGUGGAAGAAGGGGUUAGAACAGAAUGAUGAAACUUUUAAUAGGACUUGGAUUUGGGUUCAGCUAUGGAGUUUACCUAUCCACCGGAUUACCAAGGAAAUUGGCAGGAAGAUUGGGGGGGGUUUCAAUUCUGUAAAGGAAGUUAUAAUUCCAAAUUAGGAGGGGGGGGAGGAAGGGAAACAUCUAAAAAUUCUGGUGGAGAUGGAGUUAUCUAAACCAAUGAUGAGGGGAACUACAGUGAAGCUAGGUGGUAGUACUAGACGGAUUAAAUUUAGAUAUGAGGAAUGUCCUGAUUUUUGCUUUUAUUGUGGGAUUAUGGGACAUAGUGAGAGAAACUGUAGGGUGAAGGGAGUUAAUAUUAACAAGGAAGCUCAUUAUGGAGCUUGGUUAAGGGCUAGUAAUGCUAGGAGCCCAACUAGAAGGCAGAAUAACUCAAGUAAUCUGGAAUGUAAUGGUGGUGAAGGUUCACAACUGAAUAAGGAGUGGGGAGAGAGGGAGCAGGAACAACUCUUAUUACCCUGGAAGCUUGUUGAGGUUAGUGUUGACACAGCAGUAAAGAAGACUGUGAAGGAGGAAACUAAGGACAUGAAUCAAGGUGUUUGAUGGAAGGUUCUAAGAAGGAGAGCUCUAUGAAGUCUGGAUGUAAAAAGAAGGGGGAUGACCUGAAGGGAAGGAGCAAUGUUAAUAAAGACUUAAACUUAAUAGCAGAAGGGGAAAUACAGAAAGGCAGCCAGAGAGAGGAUUUGAACGAUAAGGAACACUUUGAUUCUAUGUGGAUUGAUGGAUCAGCUAUAGAAAACAAGGUAAGGGAGAGGGAGGGGAAGGUUAUAGGUCCUGCAAAUAAAAAACAAGACCAAACUACUAGUACAGGGAUGAGAGCUAGUAAGUAUACGGGGAAUAGAGGAUGGAAGAGACUAAUUCGUGAGGUGAGUAAAAGAGUAACUCUGAGCAAAAAGAAUGAGGUUAUGGAAAUUAACAAUGACAGGGGAAAAAGGAAAUUGAAUGAGAAUGCUGAUAAAGAGAAUGAAUGGGGACGGGGAAAUCCAGAAAAAGAACAAGACAGGAGAAAGUGAAGCAGGCCUGUAACAAACAUCUAAGGUGGUGGAGUCCUACCUUAAUGGGCUCCCAAGUCUCAAUGAGAGCUCUGGUGUGGCACUGUCGAGGUGUAGGGAGCCCCUUGACAGUUCUCCAGUUAGAGGAGAGUGUCAAACUCCACUCCCCUAAGUUGAUUUUCUUGUCUGAAACAAAAAAACAGAAAAGGAUGUUAUGAAUAAAGUGAGACUAAAGUUAAGGUAUGAUAGGCUGUUUAUGAUUGAUCUAGUGGGAAAAGCUAGUGGACUGGCAGUAAUGUGGAGGAAUGAACUGCAAGUUUGUAAAGUGCUAUAUACUGACUUUAAUAUUGAAAUGUUGCUGGAAAGAAAUGGUGCUAGAGCUAGAUGGUGGCUGAUAUGUGUAUAUGUCAGUAGUGAGGAUCAGAUUAGGGAAAAAUAGUGGAAGAUUAUAGAAGAGAGAAAAAGCUUGUGGAGUUAGAAUUGGGCAUUGGCAGGGGACAUGAAUGAUAUAUUGUCUAAGGAUGAGAAGUAGGGAGGCAGUAAAAGGCCAGAAAGAAGUUUUCAAAUAUUCAAGGACUUUGUUAACAAUAAUCAACUUGUUGACAUUGGGUUUGAAGGAAUUCCAUGGACAUGGUCAAAUAAUUGGGAGGAGGGGAAGGAAACUAAGGAAAGAUUGGAUAGAAUCUUAUGUAGUACACAGUGAAAGAGAGAAAAUGAGAAGGCUAAAUGCCUGCAUAUCCAGAAUGAUGCCUCUGACCAUACUAUGUUGUUGUUGGAUACUGAUUCAAAGGGCAUGAAGUGGAAAAGGAGAUUUUACUUUGACGGGAAUUGGGUAAAAUAUAAAGAAGUAGGUGAACUCAUUAGCAGGGAAUGGAGAAAACAACAGAAUGGUUCAAGAUUUCUUAAGCUACACCAAAAGAUAAAGAGCUGUAGAGUUGCUCUCUUGAACUGGAAUAGGCAAAGAGACACUAAUGCAAAAAAAGAGAUUAUGGAGCUGAAGCAAAAACUUGCAGAGGUUCAGGGUGAUAGGUAUGCCAAUAAGAAUGGAAAGAUGAGAGACCUUAAAAAGAAACUGGAGGAGGCUUAUAAGAGAGAGGAGGUGUUUUGGGGGCAAAAAACAAGAAUUAAGUGGUUGAAGGAAGGUGAUAAGAAUACAAAAUACUUCCAUGCAAGUGUUGCAGAGAGAAGAAGAAGGAAUAAUAUCUCAAGUCUUCAGAAGGGUGAUGGAACUUGGUGUGAGUCAGAGCAAGAAAUUGAGAAUGAAAUUAAUGGUUAUUUUCAGGAGCUUUUAACUUCUAGUAACCCUCAACAGGUUGACUCAAUACUGGGUGGUAUUCCCCUAGUGAUCACAGACCAAAUGAAUGCAAUGCUGGUUAGACCUGUUUCAGAAAUAGAAGUCAGAAAAGUUGUUUUUUCACUGCACCCAAACAAAGCCCCGGGACCUGAUGGUAUGACUCUCGUUUUCUUCCAACAAUUCUGGAAUGUGAUAAAAGAUGACUUGAUAAAUGCCAUAUCUAGUUUCUUUCAUUCUGGCCAGUUAUUGAGGGCUAUCAAUGAAACUAUCAUUACUCUUAUCCCUAAAGUAGACUCCCCAGUAUUAGUGUCUCAGUUUAGAUCAAUUAGUUUAUGUAAUGUAGUCUAUAGGAUCAUAUCUAAAAUCCUGGUCAACAGACUAAAGCCUCUACUCAAGCUUUGCAUCAGCCAAGCCAAAACCAAUCUGCUUUUGUUCCAGGAAGACAAAUCAUUGAUAAUGUUGUUAUUACUCAUGAAUUCAUUCAUUGUUUAAAUAACAGGAGAUGGGGAUCUAAUGCUUUUAUGGCUUUGAAACUGGAUAUGUCUAAAACUUAUGAUAGAGUUGAGUGGCUUUUUGUGCAAAAAAUUAUGGAAAGUCAAAAAUAGAGAGAUUGGAUUCUAAAGCGUAUGUCUUCUGUUGUUUACUUCUUCAAUUUGAAUGGGGAAAAAAAAGGGCUAGUUACACCUACAAGGGGAAUUAGACAAGGAGAUCCUUUAUCUCCAUAAAUAUUUUUAGUAGUCUUUGAGGGAUUAUUCAGUUUACUUAAGAGAGCUAUGUAUAAUUAGAAAAUCUCUGGUCUUAAGAUUGCUCAGCAUAGUCCAACAUUGUCUCACCUUUUUUUGCAGAUGAUGCGUUGAUUUUCUGUAGAGCUAACAAAGAAGAAGCUGACAAAGUGAUGAAGCUGUUGGAGGUGUAUGGAAAAGCCUUAGGACAAGUCAUAAAUGCUGAGAAGUCUUAUGUAUUUUUUAGUAAGAAUACAAGGGAUGAAGUGAAGGCAGAAAUAUUGGAUAUCCUGGGAGGCAUGAAGGAAGCUAGGCAAAGCAAAUAUCUUGGGCUUCCAUUGGUUAUAGAAAGACCAAAAAAACAAGUCUUCAACUACAUUAGGGAGAGGGUCAUCAACAGAAUGUGUGGAUCGAAGGAGAGACUACUGAGUAAUGUUGGUAAGGUGGUCCUUUUAAAAUCUGUGAUUUUAGUUCUACCUGCUUAUGCUAUGAGUUGCUGCAAACUGCCAAAAGGCUUAUGUGUGGAUAUUUGUAGAGAAAUGGCAAAGUUUUGGUAGAGUCAUAGUGAGGAAAGUAGGAAAAUUCAUUGGAUGGAGUGGAGGAAGUUAUCUGAGGUUAAAGGGAAGGGAGGGUUCGGUUUUAGAGAUCUCCAGCAAUUCAAUACUGCGAUGCUUGCUAAGGAACUAUGGAGGAUCUUGACAAGGCCAAAUCUAUUAGUUAGCAGAUUGUUAGGGGGAGGUAUUUUAGAGGAUCUUCCAUUUGGAAAAUGAAGAUUAAUGUUGGGGAUUCUUGGGUUUGGAAAAGCAUUCUCAGUGCAAGAGAGCUAUUGGAAGAAGGGGUGAGGAAGAGAGUGGGGGACAACAAGCAGAUUGAUCUAUGGGAAGAUAAGUGGCUACUAGAUCAGGAAGUUGGUAAGAUAAGAUCGAGAAAACCUCAACAUUGCCAUGUACAAAGAGUCCAUGAGUUGAUUUUUUGAAGGGAAUCGGGAUAAGGAUUUAUUGAGAGAGUUUUUUGAUGAGGAAGUCUGUCAAAGAAUAACUAAUAUUCCAAUAAGUGAGUGUGGUGAUAAGGAUAGACUAAUAUGGAUGUUCUCUAAAUCAGGGGAGUAUACUGUGAAAACUGGCUAUGUGGUGGCUAAAGAGUAGCAGAGAAAAAGAAGAAAGGAAAAUCAGCAACAAGGGAGUAGUAGCAGGAAUGAAGCUAAUUCAGGGGUGUGGAGAUUCUUAUGGAGCCUGAACAUAAAGCAUAAGCUGAAACAUUUUGUAUGGAAAUGUCUUCAAAGAAUCUUGCCAGUAAAUGAAACAAUUAGGAGAAGGAUUGGACAAGGAAAUGAUAGGUGCUGUUGCUGUGGAGAAGGGACAGAAACUCUUGAACACAUGUUCUUUUUCUGUAAGCAUGUAUAGCUAAUUUGAAAGGCUGCCCCAAUUAGCUGGGAUGAGUUGAAGGAAUAUAGAUAUAGCUUUUGGCAUUGGUGGAGUAGCUUGAUGGAAGCAAAGGUUAGAAAGGAACGGAGGGAACACAUUGAACUGACCAUAAAUGUGCUAUGACAGAUCUGGAAAUCCAGGAACCAGAUUCAAUUUAACAGGGAUGGGAGAUGUCUAGGCAUGGCAGUUAAUAAGGCAAUACAAGUAUGGUUAGAAUUCCAGAAUGUAAGCACAGAGAAGGGAGAGGAUGAAGAAAGGUACAGGGGUGUGGAAAGAGGAAAUGUGAAAUGGGAGCCACCUCCAGAAAACUUCAUGUGCUUAAUACUAAUGCAGCUAUCAAACAGAAUGAUGCAAAAAUAAGUUGGGGAGUCGUGACUAGAUGCAAGGAGGGGAAGUUAAGAGGAGCUUGGGCUGGUUGUGAAGGCAGAAAGGGUGUUCCAGCUGUUGAGGAGGUAAGAGCAAUCCGGAAAGCGCUUAUGUUUGCCAAGAUGAAUGGAUGGAGGAAUAUUAUAAUCCAAUCCGACUAAGAGAAUCAUUGAUCAAAUCAGAGAGGGAAACCUAAAUGACCAUUUAGCAGGUGCGGUCCUAUUUGACAUUCUUGUACUUAGCAAGGACUUUAGCUCUUGUCUCUUCUCUUUUGUUAAGAGGGGAGGGAAUAAUGGGUCCCACUAUUUGGCAAAGUUUGCCUUAACUUUAAUUUCUGAGAUAGCUUGGAUGGACUCAUUUCCAAGUUGGCUAAUCAGUCUAGCCAAAGAUGAUGUAGGAGCCUUUGCUCCAAAUUUGUAAUACUUUCGUUCAAGUAAUGAAAUUUUUCUAUCGUUUGGGAAAAAAAGUAAGAGUGAUGCAUUAGUUCAGAUUUAUCGUAAUGAAAUUGUGUUUUUUGAUUAGAGAAAAAGAAUAUAAAUAAGAAGUGAUGUAUUAUUUAUUCUACAUGGUACAAGGAGGUAAUGUAAAACAGGAAUUUCUCUAAUAAAGGAAGACGAGAAUACUCUCAAACCAUAGUAUCAGAACAAAAGCUAUCGUAGUAGGACAAAUUUCAUACUGCAGAGUUUUUAUGCUAAUCACAUCUUAGACUAGAAUGGGUAUUGUUAAUUAAUCUGUCAAGUCCAAAAUUUCUUUGAAUUCUGCCAUUAGGAUAGUGAUAUAAAUCAAAUCGUGUUGGAUCAAUUUCUAGCAAUUUGUUAAUGAAAUUUGCUUUAAAAAUAAACCUCUAUCGUAAGAAAAAUUCGCAAAUUUAAUAAUAGAUCUUCAAUCCCCACAAUUUAGGAAGAAAAUGAACAACCAAAUAAGGCAGUAUACAGAAUAAAAAAGGCAAAAAAAAGAAAAGAAAAGAAAGAAAGAGCAAAUCAGGUUUCAUGAUGCUUCAACUCUUGUAAGUUUCGAGUGCUUAAGAAUAACUUCUACGGCUUGUUCACAAGAAUUUACAUUUUCCUGUGCUGCUGCAUAAUGUAGACAAUAUUCAUCAACGAUUUUAUAUUGUGAAAAAUUUACUGCAUUAUUGAACUACAAAGUUAAAUCUCGGUGAUACAAGUAAACAGUGGUGGAGCCAAUGCUCUGGGUCAAAGGGUACAAAUUUUUGAUAUCACAUCAAAAGGCACUUAUGUUAAAUAUUAUUUUUUCAUUGUGUCAAUUAUAUUUUGACAUCUAAGUUGUGCUACAAUGUAAUGGUAAUUUAGGAACGUCAAAAGAGUUUGUUCUUGGAUUUUCAUCAUUAAUUAGCUUUAAUUAGAUCCAACACUAUUGUGAAGUGUAACAAUUAAGAUUUUUUUAAUUUACUAAGGGAAGCCAAUGCAAAUAAGAAUGAGACAAUAAAAAUUUUAAAGGGGUCAAUAUAGAUAAAAAAAAGGAAAUUUUAAAAAUAUUGAGGGGCAAAGUUGAUAAGAAUGAGAGUUUGAAAUAUUUUAGGGGGUGCAAAUAAAGAAGUAACUUAAAAAUUUUCAAAAGUGCUAUAUCAAAAAUAGAAGUUUCUCAAAGUUGAGGGUGAAGGAGGGGGUAAUCGCCCAUUCUCAUAAUCAUUUGUCUCCGUUUCAUCCCUUGUGACAGAAAUGGAGAGCAACUGGUCCGAACCCGUUGACUCUUCGUCAACGUAAAUAAAACCAACAUAUCCGCAGACCCCACUUUACACCAAUUUCCGUCCACCAAACAUACCCCUACCGGGCCCGAACUCUAUUCAGGAACAGUAAUGGUAAUACUCGAGUAUACUGGAAUCAAGAGUCUCAAUAUCCAAAGAUUUCCAAAACAGACUACCGUGGUUCGUUAUCUAAUCGACCAGACCCUUGCCGGCCCGACUUGAGUAACUAGCCACAGGUGUUGAGCUUAGAGGUCACAAAAAGGUCUUUGGAUACCAGCCUCCAAACAACGUCCAAACAGACUCAGAUACAGUUAACAGAUUAUACAUAGUAAAUAGGCAUAUGGACAGACGAGAACGAGUGUGAUAAAGUACACUCUCGUCUCAAACAGAAUAAACAGAUAGUGCAGUCAUUUAAAUCGCAGAUUGCAGGGGCAGAAACCAAGUUAAACAGCAAAUGAGGGGAGUGGUACACUCAGCGGUUCAAGUACAGAUACUUGAAAAGUUUUCACUUCAAAUUGGCUUUAAUCGCCAAGAAACCCUAAAAUCAUCAAAGUAAAACAAUUGAAGGUUUCACAUCCAAAAUCAAGUAAACGGAAUGCACAAGUGAGACUCGACUAUAUGUCGUACGCCUUUCCAGGUUAAGUACUAGUACAAAAGAAUAAAAUAUGACUUUUGAGUAAAAAGAUAACAGUUGGUUCUAGGGUUACAAACAACCCCCAAAACCCUUCAUUUGUACUAAGAUCAACUUAAUUGAAGGAAUCGCGUAGCCCUAAAAUUUUGGGCAGCAUGCCCUCUGUAUUUACUUAUUUUUUCAGCCACUUAUGACUUCAUUAUUUUCCUCAAUCAAUUCCAAAGUCAUACGCAAUAUAAAUUCAUCACAACAGCCGUUUAAUAGGCUCAAAGUCAUUCAAGUACAAGAUUUAGCUAGGAAAAUGACCGGAAAUGAGCUUUAAGCUAGGAAACUAAAAAGGCAGAUUCACCGCUACUUAGCAUAUCGGACCUAACCGAAACUACACUUAUUGGAUUGAAGUGUAAAUACCGUUUCGAAGCUAAGACAGAGGGCUAUAACUUUGAUGAAGACUACUUAGUCCAGUUCUCAUCCUAACUAGGUCAAAUUUACCAAAACAACCCCAGAUUUUCCAGUUCGAAACUCACUGUGAAAUUCAACUAGCAGUCCCGAUUCAUUCAAGCAUAUCUUAGCACACACAACUCCGAUUCAGGUAAUUCCAAAGCCAUUUGAAAGCUAAGAUACAAGGCUAUAAUUAUUCAGAAGACACCAACAAUCAAAUCAAUAGUAUUCCUGGUCAAACUAACCAAUUACAGAAGCUGAUUAUCAGUUUCGGACAGAAACAGGGCAGCAGGGGUAUUUCUAUCUUGUCACAGGCUACAGAGGUCGGAUUGGGAUGAAAUUUUACAAGCAGUUAUAAAACAUCAUUCUCUACAACUUUUAUGUUUUAACCCAAGGCUAAUUCGACCUCUAACUAGGAGAAACAGUACCAGGCAGAAUGGAAAUACUUGAAACCCUAAUCUGGCAUUUUCCGCACAAAGUGGAAAUUUUUCGCAAUUAGCUACAAUUUACGCACUAUAGCCUCAUUCUAGACUAUUUCCAACCAUCAUCCAUGGCCAACCAAUAUAAAACAUAUAAAACAGAAAAUCAUGAAUAAAUAGAAAAAUUCCCCAAUCUCAACCAAGAGUCAUGAAAUAUCACUUAAAACUAGCUCUUUACUCACACAAGCUACCAAUUGAACAUCAUUAAGAUCAAAGGAAAGGUGUCUUAGUCACUUACCUUGCAAACUCAAGAAAAGAACCAACUUAGCACCUAGGUCUUCCAAAUCACUCCACAACCAACCUUACUACCGCUAAACUAAAGGUUUUUAUGGAGGAAAUCCAAGUUUAAUCGAUUGAAUUAGGAGAUUGAGCAAGAUUGGAGCAAGAAAUUUGAGAGCUUUUUCCUUUCUUUUCUCUUGAAGAUGUUCGGCCAUAAGGAUGAAGAAAAUGAUGAAUUGUUGGUCAAUUUUGGUUAAUUGGUAAAGGUAAGUAAGAUGGUCAAAUUCAAGAAUAAACCACAAAGGUGACACUUGUCACCCUUAUUUAAUGCAACUCUAUCCUUUUGUCUCUCCAAUGAUAAUCCAUCUACGUAACUUCUAAUUAUCUCUUCACACCUGAUAAAUUAAACCCGGUAUACACAACUUAACCUAAUUGGCCGAAUUUUACCGAACUUUCCGCACUAGCGGGUCCCACAUCCGGUAUACACUCUUAAAAUCUUAUAAACUGACUUAUACUAGAAAAAAUGAUUUCAAAACCAUCUUUACUCAUAAAAAUUAUUUUCACAAUUUUUCGAACAAAUAAAAUGUGGAAAAGCGUGCAAUUAAAAGAAAAUAAAACCUAGCAAUUAAGAAAAUUACGGGUUCUCACAUUUGCCACAUAUUUGUCUAAUGACAUUUUCUUUGUAAUCUCAGCCAAAAGUAGGAAACAUAUCUUAAGAACCCUGAGGAGAUGUAAAAGAGGCAGAACUUUUGAAGCUGAUAAAAAGCACUAACAAGUUGAGCAAAGAAAAAGAUCACUUUGACCAAAAAAAAAAAAAAGAUCUCUUCCCAUAAGCUUCUCUGAGGACCAAAGUUAUGCAGGCAUCCGAUUAUCACUAAGGAAAAGUAUAGGAAGGGCAAAUUACACUUUAAUCCCCUGUGGUUUUGUAUUUUUUAUACAUAACUCCCCUAUAAUUUCAAAAACUAUAUAUACCUCCUCAUGAUUUGGAUUAAAGUGUCAAAAUGACGAAAUUUGUAAUCCAUAACAGAUUCAAUUAAAAUAUCAAAAAUACCCUUAUAAAAAGUUGAAAAUUAUUUAUUAACCAUAAGGAAUUAUAUAUAUAUAUAUAUAACCAUAAGAAGGUAAUAUGAUAAAAUACUCAACUAUCACGGGGUUAUAUGGUAAUAUAUAGAAUCAUGUAAGGUUAGAGUGCCAUGUAUAUUAUGUUUAUAUAUUUUGAUCACUUCAACCAUUUUAAUUGUUAAACAAGGGUAAUUUUGACAUUAACAAAAUGUAAUUUACCCUAUAGAAUCGGGUUGUUAAUUAGAUCGUUUGGACGAUAAAACCGUUGACUUUUUGACGAAUCGACAUUCAAUCAAUUAACCCGAUGAACCGGCGAUUUUGUGAGAAACUCGGGUUGCUAUGCGAAAAAUUUUUAGAAGAUAUUGCAUUGAUGGUUUGAACUUGGGACCUCAAGUAUAAGAAUGUAGUGCAAUCACCACUAGACCAACAGUCCAAUUGUGAGUUGUUUGGUCCUUCUUAUAUUAUAUAUUAGACUUUUAUUCUUAUUUUAUUUCUUCAAAACAAAAUUUAUUUAGAAUCUUUUAAUAAAAUUUUAUUUAUUUCCCAAAUUCCAUGAGGCAAAUUUUAAUGAAAUAACAAUAUCUAGUUUAUUUCCAUAAGUUAAAACCAAAAGUUUGUUAAAAAUAAUGAAAUUUCCAUAAAAUAAAUUUAAGUUUUGUUUAUUCUUAUAAGAAUUAAUGAUUCUAUAAUAAAUUAGACUAAUUGAACAUUUACUAAGGCAUAGUUUAUUAUAAUUUCAAUCAUAUAAAAAAUUAUAAGACAUAAUAUUUAAGUAUAUUUAGUGACCCAUCGGUUAGACCACUCAUCCACUGAUUGAAUCAGUAACUCGUUAACCCAUUUAUUUCACUGGGUUUCUCUCUGGGCGGGUUUAAUAACUAUGUUUAUCACACUAAAAAGUCCUUCUAUAUCAUCAGAUGGUAAAAGGAGAAGAGAAACAAUUGGCACUGGAAAAUAGAAAAAUUUAUAAGCUCAGCAAAUGACUAGUUUGGCCUCGAGAACAUGAUCCAGCAGCCCAACAUAGGUACAGAUUGUAUGCAAUAGCAGGAUUCAAAGGGACUACCUGCCUCCGAUUCCAUAAAUUAAGUCCUUCAUUCAGUCGGCUGUAUGCUUACUCAUCGAAAUAAUUACUGAAGAAGAGAAGCAUCCAUUCUCAGAACCAAGAUGCUUAACGUUACGGUAAAUCAUGUCAUGCUCUUAAUAAAGGGAAACUGAAAAAAUUCUUUUGCAUGUGGUUCAUAAUCUGGUGGAAUUCCAUUUCCAUAAAGAAAGUGAAAAAAAAAACCUUUUGACUUUACAGACACCUGCAGCCACCACUCUACAGAACUCAGCAUUCCUUGAUGCAAGAUUUUAUCCGGAUUCCUUUUCUCCAACAUCUGCUGAGAAUUUGAUUUUCUUCUCCUUGAAAAGAGAUCCACUUCAAUUUUCAAGAGAGCCAACUCAAGCAAAUAUGGGCAUGCUAGUUUAAUGAACUACAGGAAUUAUUUUCAUGUCUUUCAAGUAGAUUUUCCAUCACAAUUAGGAGAACUGGUGCCCUUGCAACCAGAAUCAAAAACCACUUCGUAAUAACACUGACAGAAAAAGUAGUACCAAUAAGCCUAUAUUGUAUCUGGUAGAAUUCCUUUGUUACCAGAGUAGUGUACAUAUAAGAGAGCAGAACUAAACUGAAAAAGCCUAGCUUCAAGAUUCGCAAGUGAAAUAACCAUGUUUGAGUGGUGAAAGAAGGUGGAGGAUCCAAUAAGUUGGUAAUAAUAAAGCGUCCUGCUGUGUGAAUACAUAUAGAAUCACAACAAAAUACCCAUUCAUUAUUCUCAGUGUUCAUGAUCUAAUAUUCUAAUCCAAACCCAGCCAAUCCUCAGUGGUACAUGCUAGUACUUCUGUCACCAGAGGCAUCCCAUUGAGCAACAUUUAGACUGUCAAGCUUCAAAAGUUUCUGAUCCAAUCUGACCCAGGCAAAUGCUCAAUAUUAGGAGCUCACCCAAGCGAAAAAAAUCGAAUGCUAUAUUAUAGUGUAAGCAACAGAAUUUUCAAGUUGCUAUCCAAAAACCAAAUUGAACAUGUUCAAAGACGUGAACUAACAACAUUUAUAGGCAACAAAAUAGGGCCUUAGGACCAACUAAAAACGAAUUUAUACCAUUAGAUACGAAUCACUAUCUCUAGUCACCUUGAAGAAAAGGCAUAAGUGCAUUCAUAGGUGGCACCCUGGAACCUUACAUGUCUUAUAUCUCCUUCCCUACUAUGGAAGAGAUGAAUACACUAAUAACCACCCGUAACAUUCAAAAAAUAGCAGUAAUCACAGAAUGACGAAUGAUUAACUUCAUGGCUCCAUUUAAUAGGGAAAAGUCUUUACUUUUCUGAUACUUGCAAUGGAGGAUAUAAAAUUAAAAGAUCUCUAGUUUCAGGGCUCUAUUCAUGAAACUACACCGGGAUGCCCUUAAAACUUUUACCAAACAUAUCACCGGAAUGUCACUAGCCAAACGGAUCCGGCUGUAGUUUCCAGUUUCUUUCACUGCUAAAUACCCAAACUUUAAAAGCCUAAAAUUUGUGGCUGAAUUAGAAAUUGUUUUCAAAUAUGGGUAUAACUUAUAUUUGUAACAAGAAUAUGAGGGAGAAAAAACAAAAUUUGCCUAUGUCUAUCUCAUCCUGCCGCCAAACUCCUUUCUGAUUCUUUUAUUCUUGUUUGAAGAAUUAGGAAAUAGAGAACUUAAUAGGAUUUGGUGAUCUUUAUGAACCAAAAAAUGAUGAGUUUGAUAACUAUUAGUUGGAAAAUGAGAGUGGAUAUCCAUAAUCGGAGUGAUUUCUUGCACAUAUUGCUAUUGGCUUGUAACCAAGCAUCUAAUAUGGAUAUACACAAGGAAUUGGAACAAUUUUAAUGUUGAUAACCAAGAAUACCUUGAGUUUUAAGUAAUUCUGCAGCUAACCGUCACCUCUGCACAGUUUUAGGAAUUGGCGAUAAUUUGUCGUAGGAAAGUCAAAAUUGAGUACCAUCAAUUGCAUUUGAAAAAUAUGCGUUUGAUCUAUAAGUUGGGAAAUGAGAGUGGACAGCCAUAAAUCGGAGUGAUUUCUUGUACAUAUUACUACUGACUUUUAACCAAGCAUCUAACAUGGAUAUACACAAGGAAUUGGAAGAAUUUUAAUGUCAAUAACCAAGAACACCUUGAGUUUUAAACAAUUUCGUAGCUAAGAGUCACCUCUGCACAGUUUUAGGAAAUUGGUCAUAACUUGUUGUAGGAAAGUCAAAAUUAAGUAUCGUCAAUUGUGUUUGAAACUAGAUUUGAAAAUAUUUUCAAUGGUAUAAAUUUCCAACUCUGUUCAUUGUCUGUAAGUACCAGAAAAUUUGCAAAGUUGGCUGGAAACAAUAACCUACACAGUUAAGAACUGGAAAUUGCAUUGAAUUGUGACUCGAAUUGGACCAGUUUGUGGCCCGAAUCACCUAAUGAUGUCUUUUAAAGAUUUUUAGCCUUCGAGUCUAGUUUCUAAUGGUGCAAAUUUUAUGAUUUUUUGACCUAUAUAGCUUGAUGUAUACCCAUUUAACUGAGCAUUAGUACCGCUGAAUAUUGGGUGCUAGCAAAUACUUUACCUAGCCAAUUUGGUUUCGUAUUAGAAUGCCACGGUAAGUAGUUUUAAUUGCGAAUUACCUUUUAGGUAUACCAACAGUACCUUACAAACUGAAUUGUUGUUGUGGGGAAGGCUAUAGAGAUAUUUCUAUGACUUUUGAUAGGAUCCAGAGUUACCCUACAAGUUUAGGAUGUGUCUAGGCCAUAGUCAGUUUAGCAUGAUGAAUAUGUAUUGAUAAAUGAUAACAAAAAUUACAUGCAAUUUUACAACUUUCUUAACCCUCAGUUUUUUCCCUGAAACCUGAUUUGAGUAUCUUUUGGAACUUGUACAAUUUUGAAUCACGUUUAUUUUAGACUACUGAAAAGCGGACGUGUGAAAAUUCUAAAAGUUUUAAACAUGACAUAGGAACCAAAGCCCUUUCAUUUAAAUAAACUACUUUUUAAAUUUGCAAUUCCAGUCAUGUAUUAUGUAGUGAAAUUCAUCCACAUGACAUCGAUUUUGACUCAAGCUUUGAAAUAUUAAAUAAAAGGAGUUCAGUGUUUGACUUGGCCAUUAUAUUGAAUAAACUAUACAAAUAUCUUAAUUAUUCCAAUUUGAUUGUUCAAGCUAUAUUUACCUAGAUCAUUAAAAAUUAUGCCAGGUCUUCAUGCAAAUUAGGGGAAUCUGGAGACGUGGUAAAAAUUACACAAUUGUCUUCAGUUUAGCAUAAACAUUAUUGCACAUCCAUGUGGCACGUUGAGGGAUAUUUACAAACUUGAAACUUGGCACACUUCCAUUAUGAUUUGCGGAUGUCUGAUUUUGUUUGGACAAGCUCCUUUAGCCUAGCAAACAUGAGUUUUGCAAUCUGAUAAUUAGUAAUUUUGUAUAAAAUGCUUGUAUGUGCUUCAAGUUUAGCAAUUGGAAUUUAUGCUCUUCGUGAUGUGAAUCCAAAGUAAUGUUGGGGAGGCUGUGAACGCAAAGUAAAUUUGGAGAGGUUGGACUCUUGUCAAGGAUCUAUGUCUUCUUUGACAUACAUACCUUUAUGGAAAUGUUAUGUGGUUAUUUUUGCUCAUAUUAGGUAUUUAAUAAUACAAAUUAUUUUGUUAUAUUUUGGGCUCGAGGCAAUUGGUGUGUUGACGUUGAACAAGUCAUGCACAAAAAUUUGUCAAGGGAGAUAAGGAUAAUGUGACGACCCCACCUCCCCCUAAGGCGUACCAAAGGGUUCGGCGGACCGCCUGCCCAGCUCUCGCCAGGACUCACUCACUAUCUCAAUCGAGUCACGUACACACAUUCAUGAACCAUAAAUAACAUUCCCAAUUCAAGCUUAUAAUUUACAUUAAUAGAAAUCGAAGUACGAAGUCUCAAUACACCAAACUAGAUCAAAACGAAUACAAUCCAAAUACAACAUGUUCCAUCCGAGGAAUAGCGUGAGUACAAGUCAAAAUCAAACAGCUAGUCUAUGCUAGACUUUACAUAUCUCACACCUCGCUCGUACCCCUGAAAGGAAAACAAAUGGAGUGGAAUGAGCUAAAAGCCCAGUGAGGUUCCAAAUAGCAAAUUGACCAUUAUUUAUAAGUACGAGUUUUCGAUAUAGCAAAGUAACGAGCAUAAAGUGUUCAUAAAUGUGAACAGUAACACGUCAAGUAGAAAUCUUAAAAUGAGCGAAUGUAGAAAAUUUUUCAAAAGAAACAAUAAUCCAAUAAACAAUAACUACUCCAAAGUAUAAGGAUACGGAUGACUCUCAGGAGCCAAAUUCCCAUUACAUUACUAGAAGCUUGAUCCCGUAGUAGUUGACACUCCGUCAACUUUCAAGUAAGUAACCAAUCCAGUAGAACACCACUUAAACGACUCUCCGUCCACCGUUCAACCCCCAGCUGGGCCCAAAAUCCUCAAGAACACGGGUGGUAAUACUCGAGUAUACCGAUUAGUCGAGGAGAUAUCACUCCACUCGACAAUACAAGAGACCCAGGGUUCGUUACCCAAUCGACCAAGCCCUUGCCGGCUCGACUAGAGUAACUCGCCACAGGGUUUCUGGAAUUCCGGAAGUGCGCGCAUCAUAAACAAGUAUAUCAAGUCAAUUGCAACAAUAAACAAGUAUAUCACGUAAGGGCAAGUGCGAUAAAGUACACUCUUGCCCUUACAAUUCACGUAUAUAACAUGUAAUCAGAUUGGUCACGUAUCAAGUUCAAGUAUCAAGUUCAAUUCGGUAUUUGAAAGCACUCACCCAAAAGAUAUAGUGCUACUGGUCACUUUCAGGUUAUACUCCGAGUUCGGAGUCCAAAUCUGCGAUAAAACUCAAUUUGAGAACUUUGAAACAUGACUAGAGUUCGAAACUUAGACGUUUCGUUCAAUAAGAAUCAAGAAAUUGAAAUUCACUUGGAGAAUACUCGUGAGAUACUCGCUCACUUUUUAAAUGAUAAAAAUUUGUAACAUUUAUACUUGAAAUGGUCAUGCGAGUCGAAAGUACAAGGGAAAACGUACUUUGAGCAAUCAUUAUUUCAUUUCUCAAGGGUACAAGUUCGGCCAAGUCCUUACUUAUAUACCUCGAACAAGAAGACUCAAGUUCCCUAGAUGGUUCAAGUACUAUUCAUAUCAACUCGACCCAAGUCGCAAGUGUAUUUAUAUAGUCCUCGAGCGUAAAUUUGGGCAGCAUGCCCUUUGUGUUUACCUAAUUUUUCCAGCCAUUUAGGCUUCAUUAUUUUUCUUCAACAACAGCCCAACAACAUACAUAUCAGCAAUUUAUGUCAAGAGCCGUUCCAUAGGCUCACAAUAUCAUAACAACAAGAACCGCAUCAAGUACAAGUGCAGAAAUUCAAUGUGGCACAAGACAGAUUUGACGUAUACAAGCGGAAAUAACUUGUCCGAGGCUACGCUUAUCGGAUUAAGGCGAAACCUAUGCCGUUUCGAAGCUAAGACACAAAGCUACAACAUUCAUGAAGGUCACUUAGUCCAUUUCCUAAUGUAACUUAGUCAAAAUCUCAGACUACUAAACCAGAAACCAAUUCAUCGGCUGUUUAAACGCAUUAUGCUGUAGCGGACCUAACUCAGUGUACACAAGUCCGAAUCAGGUUUUCUUUGAGGCAUUUUAAAGCUACUUCAGAACACUACAACUUUUAUGUUUUGGCCCAGAGCUAAAUCAGAAUGGAUCCUGAUCAAAAAUCGUGAUAAACUGGACUGAACUGAAGAAACGGACUGCUGGGAAAUUCUUAAAACAGUAGGGGUAUUUUGGACUUUUCACGUUCUACGUUGCUCCGAUUGAGCUGAAAUUUUAUAGGAACCUAUAAAACAUCAUUGCCUACAACUUUCCUUCUUUGACCCAAGGCCAAAUCGGCCUCUAACACAUAGAUACAAAUUCGGACAGAAGUGAUCAAGAAUUUUCCAGAAAUCUGGAAUUUGUAGUUUCUAGUGAAAUUUUCCCUAAUUUCUCACUCCAAUCACUCCCAAAACACCUUAUAAAACCUCAAUGGUAACAUACAAGUAUCACACAUCAAGUUGGGCAGAAAUUCCACAGCCCUAGUUCAUCAAUUAAAUUGGGGAAAACUUCUACACAUGCUAGCAUCCAUGAAUCCACCACCAAUCAAGCUACUAAGCUUACUUUAACCAUGAUUGAAAGAGAAAGUUAGAGAGAUAUCAUCCUCUUACCUUGAUUUGAGUUCUCCAAGGGUAGCCCAAGCCUUCUCUUUCCAAAAUUUCACCACCAAACACUAGCUAAUCACUCAAGGAGAAGAUUAAUCAGUUUGGUUUGGUUUGAUUCUUGCUUUAUAGAUGAAUCCAAGAAGAAAUGAAGAGGUUUCUCUCUUAUUCUUCCUCUCUCCCUCUCUCGGCUCUUAGCAGCAGAAAUGAAGGAAAAAUGGGGCUUAACUUGUCUUAUAAGAGAGUAAGAGAAUUAGGACUAAUGGUGUCCACAAAUCUUGGCCAACACUUGGACUAAUCUUGACCACAAAAUUUUCUUUCUCUUGCCUUGCCUUUGAGCCACACAUUCGGUCAAGCUAUCAUCAUGAGGGGGAAGAUAUUUUGCUCAAUUAGUAAUGAGCUUAUACAGUAAGAAAGUGGUGGUCAAGUGGUGCGUUCAAACGGUAGAGCGCGGGACCCGCCGGUUGGCGCCGUUUUUCUUAAAACUCACGUACUAGGGUUUUUACUUCCCAUUCACUAACUUUAUACCAUUGCUACUAAUCACAUAUUAUUUCUCACUCAAAAGUCACUUUUAAUCUCCAAAUUUAAUCCUUACUCUGUACCGAAAAUUCAUCCGGCGAAAAAUCGCGAAAACCCUAAUUUUGCUCCAAACUUGAAACCGAAGCGUAAAACCUUAUUUUCUAGGUUUAUUUACACUUAUCAUGGAAUAAUUGGAUAGUAGGGCUUUAAUAAAUGAUAAUCUUCAAAUAAAAAGAAAUUUUUAAGAAAACGUGAGGAAUUUUCCAAUUCCAGUAAUUAAAAUUAGGGUUUUAAUUAAAAUAUGAGACAUUUAGGAAAACCGGUUAGUCACAAGUAAACUAGGGUUUUUGGCUACAAUAUUAGGGUUUCUAGUCUUUUAAACCAAAAUAAGGUUUUAAAUCAACCCAAAGAAAUACACUUUAAUAUUUUCUUCACAAACAACCUCCUAAUAUUCGGGAUGUUACAGAUAAUACUUUGUCAACAAUAGUAACAGUUUUUUUUUUUUUGCCUUUGUUUAUCUAGUUAAACUUGGAUAUUAUCGAACUUUCUUAUUCGUUUAAGUUUGAAAAUUUUUCUGAAGCUUCUUCUAAAUAUUUGUACAUAUUUUGUAUAACAGAAAAGACUUAUUUGUACAUAUUUUGUAUAAUAGAAAAGACUUCUAGUAUUUGUACAUAUUUUGUAUGAUAGAAAAGACUUAUUUAUUAAUUAAAAAUACUAUUUCUACUAAUAUGGAUACACGAUUCUCACUGGGCUCAUUAGCUCGCAUAUUUUAUUUUUGUUGAUCGAAAAAUAAUUUCAGAUAUAUAGGAUGACCGAGCUCGAUUAAAACAAUUUGGUCUGUGAGGGCUUCAAAGGUGUUAUUAGAAAUUAUAGUUAACCGACAAGGAAUAUUAACAUAUUGUACUUAUAGUGAGAUUUUGAAUUAUAUCCGCUAGCAAUCGUAUAUUUGUUUUUUGGCAUGUACUCCUAAUUUCGAUUUUAGUGGAAAAUUUAAUAUUUUCAAAGUGUAAGUUUAAAGGUUCUAGUUUUAGACCUAAUGCGAAAACCUGACAAAUGGCCAGUUCACUCCUUAUUCACAAGGUCGAAUUUGGUCGUUACAUAGAUUUUGGAGGGCACGGUGAAAUGGAGGUUUCAAGGGGCGGGGAUGGCCUAAGAUUGGUACAGCCGGUGGGCUGGCGAGGUGGCAUUUUAUCUUUAUUCUGCUCAGAACAUUGCCGGAUGAUGAGUAUGGAACUAGUAAUCAUGAUUAAUGUGCAGCAGAGGACCACCGAAUCCAAGGCCAUGCUUGAGAAGCUAAGGCAAGUGAUGUAGCUAUAUAAGUUUCACACUUUAUCUAUCUGAUAUAGGCAAAUAACAAUGGCCAAAGCGACAGCAACAUUAGCCUGAAGUGGAUGACAAAGGAGGAGAUUGUAAAUGUAAACACAUAACUAAUACUAAUUUUAAGCACAGAUAGAGAUUUAUUGUAAACACAAAUAAAGGUUUUAACUACUCGUACAAUAAUUAAGAAUUGUCUUGCAGGCCACUCGGUGAUAACAACUUGAUAGCUUUGUACCACCAAAACUCACAGCUUCUAGUUGUUGGCUUUCAAAGUUGAGAGAGAAGCAGAAUUGAUUCUUGGCGUGGAACGCAUACGGCCUCCAAAUGUUUAGCCUUCUGCAGGGUGAUUCUAUCACUAAAGUUAAUGUCCAAGUCACCAUCCUUUUCGACUUUAUCCCAAUCAAAACAUUGGAUGAUUGUACCGAUUGCCAAUGAAACAGUCCGAAUGCCUAGAUUGGCUCCUGGACAAGCUCUCCUGCCCAUCCCAAAUGGCAAGAACCUGGAAUUGAACUCUUCUUUGUCCAUCAAUUUCUUCGCUUCGAAUCUUUCUGGCAUGAAUUUCUCAGGCUCCUCCCAGAGUUUUGGAUCCCGAUGCACGGCCCAGGCAUUAGCUAAAACAAUUGUACCUUUCGGAAUGUCAUACAUCCCUACCUUGCAAUCUUCAGAUGCAUAAUGAGGUAGCAGAAGUGGUGCUGCGGGGUACAGUCAUGGUUCAAAGUCGCGGUCGCGGCCUGGACCGUUUCACAUCGGUCUCGGCAUAUCGGUUGCGGUCUCGGCGAGAUGCGAAUUUUUGAAAUAUUUAAUAUUCUAAAAAUUGUAAAAAAAUAUGAUAAACAAAAAUAAUUAAAAAAUUUGUAAAAAUAAUAAAAAUUCGAAUUGACUCGGGAUGACUCGGAGUAACUCGGUGAGAUUCGGCCGUUUCAACCCUUCACAGUGACGUCUCGACGAGUCACGUAUCUCGGUAUCGUUUCGUCGCGGUCUUGUCUCGGACUAGGCCGAGACGGUGACGACUCGGCCGAGUCUUCGAACCGUACAGUCUCAUUGUCUCAUUGACAACACAACGAAGAUAAGGAAGCUUUGGGAUAUCGGAUUCUCUCAACAGUCUUCCAUGUCCUAGGUUGAUGUCAAUCUCAGUCCUGAGUUUCUGCAGUGCCUUAGGGUUAUUUAGCAAAAGCAGCAUAGCCCAUUCGAUGGUCAGCGUGGACGUUUCUCUUCCUGCUGUAAACAUUAUCUGGAUCAAGGAUUGCAUAUGUUAGACAAAGUAAAAUGCUUAGAUUAGGGUAGGAAAGAAUCCCAGAAAGGUAGCUUUUAAAUACUUUCUCCAACGCCAACAAGAUCAUCCUUCUGAAAAUGCUUUAAUGAGUACAAGCAAGGGAAAGGGUGAUGACAACCAAUGAGCUCAAAUGCAUCAAGGCCGAAGCUCUUAUCAUAUGAGAAGAUUGUUUUGGUGAAAUUAAGGGGGGUUGUUUUCAGGAAUUUGCUAAUUAAAACCUCAUACUCAAAUCUUACCUGCUAGCAUCACAAUUAACAAAACUAAGGACAAAGUAUCAGAUUGUGACCUUGAUUGCUAAUCUUAUCUUAGUAUCAGAGUCCAAGUUUUGGCAUUUAAAUCCCACAGGCAAAGAAUCAAUGGCUAAAGGUUCAUGUAGAGCUCUCACUGAUGCCUCACUGUAGAGUGUAGCCUGAUGUGUUUAACUAAUAACCAUAUUAACUUUAUGUUGCUGAAGAGAGCAAUUGAGAAAGUGAAACAAGGUCUGCAGAAUAAUAAGUUCAUCACAAGUGUAAAUGCAUAAAUAGAGGAAAAGGGAAAAAUAAAGUAUAUUCUGCCAUUCCAAAUUUCACUGCCUUAGCUACGUACUGAAAUCGGAAAAAGCUCAUGAAGUAAGGAAAACAUGAGGCAUAUUGCACUUACAAAUGCAAAACUCUUUAUGGCGUCAUCUGAUAAAAAAUCAGUUUCUUUUUCCUUACGAGAAAGCAGAUUUGCAAUCAGUGCCUUCUUCUCCCUGUCCAGCAGAGUAUUUGAACAUCGAAAUUCAUCUAUGAAACCCAGACCGAAAUUAUCUCUCUUCUUCUGCAAAGAGAUCAUUUCCUUUUCUAACCCUUUGUAGCCAAGCCACCUUAACACAGGGGAGAAGUCACACAAAUUCAUUGAAAUGCUUGAACCAAACAUUUCUCUGAAUUCUUCAAUUAUUUGCAUGCCCAACUCCUCUCCAGCAUCCUCCUCUCUGAUGGAGCAUCUUCCAACAAGCAUCCUCAUGAUAACAUUGAGUGUAAAACAGAAAUCCAAUGGCUCAAAUCAACUCUUACUUGGCUUUCAUUCUUUGAAACUCUGUAGAUUGACCUGAGAAUCAUCUGACAUUCCUCUUCCCUGAUAACUGAAGUCCUCUGGAGGCUGUUGAAAGAGAGAGAUUCAACGACAAAGAGGCGACGAAGAACCCUUCACAAGUCGCCAUAAGGGGCCACCCCAAGGCCUGUGUAGUUAUAGGUAAAUCUAUCUCCAGCCAUGGUCCGAGGACGGUUUGCAAGCGUAAUAUCAUUCUUGGUGAAGCACUCUUCAAUGGCAGCUGGAGAUGACACAACAACAAAGGAACGCCAACCGAAUUCGAGAAAGAAUAUUGGACCAUAUUUAGCUGAUAAUGAGUUAAGUCUUGGAAGAGUGAGUUCUUGAUAAGGUAAAGAUGGCCAAUUAUUGACAGAGCAAGUGGACUUGGCGGUAACUUCUUGUUCUUGACAUGGUUGAAUAGCAAGUUUUUGGAGAUGAGAAGCAAAGAACACGAUAAGAUGGUGACGAGGCAGCAGUAGAGAUUCUCCAUGGCCAAAAAGCUGAAAAUCACAAGAGACAUUUUAGUUAACUUCAGAGCUGACAAGGCCAAAGUUAUUGGAUAAUACGUAGUUGUUCAUGAAACAAGAUGGCUUUAAUAGUGAGAGGAACUUGGUCUUUGAUGUAUAUAAGCUCACUAAUUGAGAAACACAAUUGGCAAGAAUUACACAUUGGAAUAAUUGCCGGCAUCGAUCAUUAGCAGAAAGGGAAGCUUUAAAAAAUUAAAAGCUUGGUGCGAAGAAAGUGGAGCUUUAAAAAAUUAAAGCUUGGAGCAAAGAAGAGUCAAAAUUACUUGUUGCUUUUCACUUACAUGCCAAGAGAACUUUCAAUUGUUUGGAUACAUGGAUUAGUAUGGAAAAUGAGGAGAACUUAGGGGGCGCUUGGUUCAAGCUUAGGAAUUGGAAUUGUAAUUGGAAUCAUACAAAAAAACUUAGUAUGAGUUUUGGACAAAGGUAUGAUUACAAAUGGGGGUGCUUGGUAAAUAUUUGUAAGGAAUGGGUAUCAAAUUUAAUAAUCAAUUUUUUACCUUUAAUUUCUUUUUUCUUUUCAUAUCUUUCUUCUUCCUCGUUCGAAUGCUUAUCCCACAUACCCAUCCACCAUAUAUAUAUAUUCAUAUACAAAUAUUAAAUUUCUAUUUAAAAUAUAUUUAUAAAUAUAUUUAUUUAUAUAAAUUUAUAAAUAUAUUUAUUUCAAUUUUGUUUUAUAAUAUGUAUAUUAAUAUGUAUAUUUCAAUUAUGUAUAUUAUAUAUAUAAAUUAUAGUAAUAUUAAUAUGUAUAUUUCAAUUAUGUAUAUUAUAUAUAUUAUAUCAAUUGAAAUAAAUAAUAUAUAUUUAUAUAUAAAUAUUUUUGUUUAAAAUAUAUUUAUAUAUUUAUAAAUUUAUUUAUAUUUAUAUUUAUAUAAAUAUAUAAAUAUAUUUGUUUAUAUAUAUUUAUAUAAAUAUAUAAAUAUAUUUAUUUCAAUUAAUAUUUAUAUUUUAUUAUAUAUAAAUUAUAUUAAUAUUAAUAUGUAUAUUUCAAUUAUGUAUAUUAAUAUUAAUAUGCAUAUUAGAUAUAUUAUAUCAAUUGAAAUAAAUAUAUAUAUAUAAAUAUAAAUAUUUAUAAAUAAAUAUUUAAAUAUAUAUAUUUAUAAAUACAUUUAUAUAAAUAUAUAAAUAUAUAUUUCAAUUUUUUUAUAAUAUGUAUAUUAAUAUAUAUUAAUAUAAAUAUAAAUAUGUGUUAAUAUACAUAUUAUAAAAUAAAAUAAAAAUAAAAAAUAUUAUAUAUAUAAAUAAAUAAAUAUUAAUAUAUAGAAACAGAGCCAGUAUAUAUUUUUAAAAAAUCCCAAAAAUAAAUUUUUUUUAAGAUUUUGGAAUCAAAUGUGGGAUUCAUCAAAACCCUCCAAUCUACUUGGGUAUUGAGAGUGGCUGAUUUUUCAUGAAUCAUUCCAAGAUUUCAAAACCUAUACCCAUUAGCCAAGCAACAAUUUUGGGGUUCAAUCCAAUUCUUGAUUCCUAUACCCUCCAACCAAGCAUCCCCUUAGUAGUUUUCUUUUUCUUUUCCAACAGGGGAGGGGGUAGGAUUCGAACUACGGCAUCUAAUUCUCAGAGUCUGAAUUUUAGCCACAAGACCAUGACCUCCUUGGCGAGAAUUUAGUAGUUUGUUUAAUUGUGUAUGUUGAUUUUUAAGGGGAAAUAAAAGUUUCAAAAAUUUUUUGCACUUUCUACCUGUUGUAAGUAGGGAUGUAAUCGAGCCAAGUCAAGUUCGAGUAUUGCUAUACUCGAGUUCGACUCAACUCAUAUAUAUCUAGGCUCGAGUUCGACUCGAGUUCGACCGAGUACAAAAAAUUGAUACUCGAAACUUGACUUGAGGAACUCACUUUAAACUCGAGACUCGACUCGAUAAGACUCGACCUUUAGUCAAGCCUUAUCAAGUCGAGCCUAAUCAAGUUUUUUGACUCGACUCGACCAAUCUUCCCUUUUUUAGACAUUUUUUUCUUUUUAGGUCUUUUUACAAUUAUGUUAUUACUUUUUUGCCAUUAUGAAAUUUUAUUAUAAAGAAGAGUUUAUUAUAAAUUCCGUAAAACUUAUACCCAUAAUGGUCAUUUUAUAAUUAUAAUACAUAUAUAUUAUUUAAAUUAUAAAUAUAUAAUUUAAAUACCCCUGGCUCGACGAGUAGCUCGACAAGUCUCGAGCCUCAAAAUAUUGGCUCGAAACUCGACUCGAAUGACAAUCGAGUAGCUCGAGACUCGGCUACUCGAUUAUGACUCGACUCGCUUACAUCCCUAGUUGUAAGUUGUAACUAGCAAAUUUUGGAGAAAAGUAUUUCGUUACGCACUACAAUUUCAUGCAUUAUAAAUGGGAUUAAUUACAAUAAACUGGCUUUGAAAUUCGCGUCUUCCUCACAUUGUCCUCCUGAAUAUUUAAUUGAAUCAAUUCACCUCUAUGCUAUUAUAAUUUUUCUAGUCAGGUACAAUUACAUCAGAGAGCCCAGUUUCGGACUAAAUUUAGCAUGUGCAAUGCACAUGGUUUUGUAAAUUGACCAAAUUACCUCCAAGUUUUUAGUUGCUAAAAUUUUUAAUUACUUGCUCUUCAUGAAAAUUUUUGUAAAGCAGUUUAGUUAUUAUUGGUAUCACUAAAAAUUCUAAUUUUAUGCAGCUUUUGGUUAGUCAUGAUUUUGGUUUGUUUUACCGUACAUUGGCUUAUGGCUACCAUUUUCGGUAUCUUUCUCACAAUUACAAAAAUCUGCUUGAAAAAUGUAAUUGUUGACUAUAUUGUACUUUUUUUUGUUAUCAAUCAUCGCCUGUCUACCCUACUCCGAUUCUAGCUUAUUCUAGUGAGGAUGUCAAAUUGAAUCCAUUGGAGAACCGACAGAGAUUGAACUACUAUUGGACCAGACGGAUGCACUACAUACCCAUAUGAAUUUAAGAAAGCCAAAUACAGUAGCAAAGUGAUUGUUGACUAGAUUGUACUUUAUGUUUUAUAAAUUCAAAAGUUUUUACAAUUGUGUUUAAUAAGGUAUGCUAUUCCAUAAUACUAUUAGGAUGGUAUGGUAUUGUUUGAUAAUUAAUGCAUCAAGCUGUCUUUACUAGGCACUAUUUUCUUUCAGUUCACACUUGGAUCGAUCCGUUUUUAAAGAUCCAAUGAUUCAGAUUAUACCAUAUUAUUUAGUGAAGAGUGUGAUACAACCUGAAUCAUUGAAUUUUAAAAACUGAGUCUACCCAAAAUUUAGACAUUUCUUUUCGGCUACAAGCUAGAUACAGACCCAUUAAUACUUAAUGAUAAUAAUCCAGGAGACAUGAAUAAGGCAUUUCCUAUUACAGAUGAAGUGCAUGCCGACUCCACAGUUUAAUUUGAUAAAUAGUCUUGGGUCAAAUAUCGUGUUCAGCAGGGUGUCCAUUUUGGGGUUUGUACUUUGUGGGGCUUUAGAGGCCAAUUUGGAGCCCAGAAAAAAAGGAACGCAACCCAAAAAAAAAAAAAACAAAAUGAAGCAUAUGAUAGUAAAUACUCGAAUGGUACACGUUGUAUAAUGCUCGCAUGGUACAUGUUGUAUUUAUUAUUCAAAAAAAUUUCUUACUUCAUACAUUUCAAAAAUACUUUGAAAAUGUUCGUACUUUUUAAUUAACUGUAUAAAACACGUAAUAAACUUUUAACAUAUUAUACUUCACGAAUUAUAGUUCAAAUUUUGAAAAAUUCUUAAAUUUUGAAUAAAGAUAAUGACAUACUUCUGAGCUAUGUACAAUAUAAGAGUGACACAAUAAUUGCAUAUUUAUACAUGUUUAAGUAAUAAGGUGAUAAAAUUUUAAAUAAAUUUAACGUCUCAUAUACAAAAAGAAGAUUAAAAUUGGUACAAAUGUAGCAUAGUUUGUGAAAACUAUAGUAAAUUUAUCCAUAAUUUUACUUCCGUAAUUUUCAAACACGGUCAUACUAUUUACGUAUGAAUUUAUAUGCAUGAUUUUAUUGAACAUGUAUUUUUAUACUGAACUCUUAAUUGUAAUUUUGAAACUAAAAUCUAUAUAAUAUGAGUAUUAUAAUAUUUUAUAUUAUACCAGUUCCUUAUUUUAUUAACUAUGGGACAUAUUUAUAUUGUGAAGAAACUAUCGAGUAUUCUUGUUAACAAUAAAAGUAAUAGCUAUUAGCUUUAGGAAUUGGAGGUCCUAGAUUCAAAUCCCUCUUGCCUCCUCUCCGAUUGUUAAAUCUCACUCCUGUCAUGCUGAAUUAUUUUUUUUAAAAAAAAUGGUAAUAGCUAUUAACGAUAGUCGUGGUAACGAUAAGUCUAAGAUUAAAAUUUAGUUUAGAAUAUUCUAGGUUGACAAGAGAACUCUAGGGAGAUUGAUUUACUACAGAAACUUUUUUUUUUUUUACAAUUUAAUGAACUAUUCAACUAAAUUUAACACAAAUGUCUCUUAAACAAUAUCAACAAAAUACUAGAAAUUCUAACCAAUUAAAACUAGUCAAACUACUAAAAACUAAAAACAUGAAACAAUUCUAACAACCAACUGGCAACUUAGCUUCUUCAACUAAAUUGACCUAUUCUAAAGUUAGAAAGCUGCAGUAGAAGUUGAUUCAUUCCACCAAUGUUGGAUUCUAUACUUGUUAGCUUCACUAAGUUACUUGCAUUCCCCUAGAAACAAACACUAUAGUUUAAUAGGUGCUGCUGUUAAAACUUAAAAUUAGUAUUCUAUUUUGGAUGUGGCCACAAAGUCCCCGUACAAAAUUUGGUGAAAGUGACUUGUGAUUUAUAAGAUUUGUGUAGAUUAAUUUGUUACGUGAACACUCAAAACUAAUACUAACAGUACAGACAAAUAAAGAUUUUAACAGCUCAUCAUACAACAAUUAAGAAUAAUCUUGCCGGCCGCUUACUGAUAACUACUUGAUAGCUUUGUGCAACCAAGGCAUAACAUUGGCUAAUGGACAGACAACUAGGAAAUGCCUAUAUUUCAUAUUGGCUAAUUGAAGCAUAUUUUCAAUAGUUUCUUGUCAUCUUUUUACAUGUGUAGCGUUUUAUAAAUAGAAAUAGAUAGAGAUAGAUAGAUAGAUAUCUGUUUUUGGAGUGUUUUUCAAAAACUAGUUUUUUAAAUACAAUAAAAUUUUUAAAAAGUACUCUAAAAGGUAAUUUAAAAAUUAGUUUAAAUUUUUUUAAAAUUUUAAAAAAUAUCUCAAAAUAUAUUCUAGAAACUCUUCUACUCUUAAAUAUUCCAAAAUAUUUUCUAAAAAUAUUUCAAAAUAUACUCCAAAAACUCUGCUACAGCAAAGUUUUUCAAAAAUACUCCUAAAAACAACUAAUUCAAACAGAACCUAAAUAUUGAUUGGAGGGUACUCAAAUCGUUUCUUAGUACAUUUGUCAAUAAAGUGUAGUUAUGCAGCAGAUGCUCAUUCUAAACGUGGCUUAGCUAGGCCUUUUUGUGACAAAUGUAGCACUAAUCUACAGACCUUUUAAUUCAAAUUUCUUUUUGUCUGGCAUGACUAAAUUCUUUUCAGAUUUGAAUCCCCUUUGGGUGAACCCGUGUGAUGGGAAGUCGUUGUCCGUUGAAAUAUUUCUCCUUUUGUCCUCAAGACUCAAUUUAGCUGGCUGGGACAUUAGUCAUGAUUAUGAAAUAUCUAAUUUGACUGCCAUUCUCUUUCAUUUUUCAUUUUCUCCUUAUAAGGUUUAGAAUCUUCUUAAAAAAAAGACAUUUCUCCUUGCAUAUUUGUAGGGAUGUACGCGAGUCGAGUCAUAAUCGAGUAGCUCGCGAGUAGCUCAGUCAACGGCUUAACUUGAACUCGGGUUGACCGAGUUCGAGCCGAGUUUCGAGCUACUCGAUUGUCAUUCGAGUCGAGUUUCGAGCCAAUAUUUUGAGACUCGAGACUUGUCGAGCCAGGGGUAUUUAAAUAAUAUAUUUAUAAUUUAAAUAAUAUAUAUGUAUUAUAAUUAUAAAAUGACCAUUAUGGGUAUAAGUUUUACGGAAUUUACAAUAAACUCUUCUUUAUAAUAAAAUUUCAUAAUGGCAAAAAAGUAAUAACAUAAUUGUAAAAAGAUCUAAAAAGAAAAAAUGUCUAAAAAAGGGAAGAAAAGACGAAAGUGUGUCAAAAAGCUUGAUUAGACUUGACUUGAUAAGGCUUGACUAAAGGUGAAGCCUUAUCGAGUCGAGUCUCGAGUUUAAAGCGACUUCCUCGAGUCAAAUUUCGAGUAUCGAUUUUUUGUACUCGGUCGAGCUCGAGUCGAGCUCGAGCCUAGGUAUAUAUGAGUCAAGUCGAGCUCGAGUAUAUCAAUACUCGAGCUUGACUUGGCUCGAUUACAUCCCUACAUAUUUGUAUCACAAAAUAUAGAGUCCAAAAAGCUGUUUAAAAUGUAAAAAUGAAUUUUGGGUGCACCUAAUUAAAGAGAAACUAAUCUACGUUAAGGCAACAUGGUCAACAUUAUCCCUCUUUAUCAUUCGUUUUCCUUUUUAUACAAGCAAUGUUAUAACUCAAUCCAUUUGGAUUAAGGAGUUUUCAAAAUAUAAGUUUUUCAUAUUCAAAUUUAUAAUAACACACUCUAAAAACAACUCUAACAAAAAAAAUAUGCACAAUCUCUAAUAAAACUAACAUUUUUUUUAAAUAAAUAAACUCUAACAUUCUCUUUCUUCUUCCACCCAACACCCACCACACACCAGCAUCUAUCACUGCCACCACCCCCUACUCCCUCUCUCCUCCUCUCUCCUUGCUUUUCUUCCUCCUCCUCCUUCUUUCCCUCUCCUCCCCUCCCCUGCAAACCCCAUCCCUCCCUUUCUCCUCAUCUGGUUGCAGGUGACGAUCUAGAUUGUGACUAGAUCUAGUGAUUGUGAUUGUGAUCAAAGAAAGGCAAAGGAAGGGGAUGGAGUUUGUGAGAGAAGUGGGGUGGGAAGGGGGUGGAGGGAAGGAGAAAGGAGGGAAAAGGAGUGAGGGAGAAGAAUCGAAUGAGCGAGGAGAGAGGAGGAGAGGGGAAUGGGGGAGAGGUAGUGACAGUGGCAAGUGGUGGUGAGGGGGUUGGUGGGGUGGUUGUGAUAAAAUUUUUUAAAAAUAUCCAAUAAAAUUUUAAAUUUUAAAAAUACCUUAAAAUACAUUCUAGAAAUGUCUAAUCCAUAUGACCCAAUUACAAUAGAAAUUUUUUAUAUAUAAUGCUACAAUAUAAUUUUUCAAAGUCACCCUCAAAAAUACCUAAUCCAUAUUGUUCGUAAUUGCCAAUUUAUUGCUUUUUGAGUUCCAAAUUUUCUGGUAUGUUUUAAGUUCUAUGUUUCGAUCAUUAAAAGGUAAGGUAGAGUUUUCUACGUUGUUAUUAAAGUUAUAUAGUUAAGACUUGUAAAGUAAUAUUUUGGUAAUCUAGAAUUCGAUUGGUUUCUCCAUCAAGAUAUAAAGUUUCCACUACAAAUUUGCAUCAGCUUUCGAUAUUUUUUAGAAUAUUUUACACAUCUGAAACUAAAGAGCAAAUUAUCCGGUUGGCCACUAAACUUUUGCGAUCGUCGAGUUUUGGUCACUCAACUAUUAAAAGUCUGGUUUUUGUCACUCAAAUGUAUAAAAGCGAGACGCGAGGUCAUUCUGUUAGAUUUAGCCGUUAACUUCACAAUUUCCAAUACAAAAAAUAGGGUCAAUUUAAGAAGUUGAAAAUAGUCCUUCUUCUUCUUGUUGUAUAAAGCUAAUAAAGAUUACUUUACCAACUAUUUAUAAAAUUAAAAAAAAAUUGUUUACAGAAUAGGCCUGAAAAAUAGAUGCAGCUACAAAUAUACCAUUACACAAGUAACUCUAGCUCAAAGAAAAAAAAAAUAGCAGGAAAGAAAAGGAGAAUUCAGCUAAAGAAUAAGCACACAAACUCAAUACCUGCGAUACUGAAUGGGCAUAUUGGAAGCUUUCCAAAUGGCAAUUUUCUCAAAAGCUUCAAUGGGAAGUACAAAAUGUAGGGAAAUUACAAUGGCCUCCACCAUCAGCUUCAAACCCAUAAUUCGGAGCACAAAAGUUAGUCGCAGUAACAAUAAUGGAAGUCCCAGGAAUACACCAUCUCAGGUACUCAACACACCUAACUUGAAAGCAAGCUCCACAGAUCUGACCCUUCAAACAGGACUGUACUGAGUGCAGCUGUGGCUUUCCCGUAUCCCGUUUUCUCCAGGUCCCCAUAACCACAAGCCCCACCAACCGGGUCUCCCGGUUCCGCGGCGGCGUAGUAGGUGGCUCUGGCGGAUCUCCACUCUGUGUAGGAGAAGGGGGUGGAGGAAGAAGGGGAGUAGUGGUAGUGGGAGCGGACUAGCUGGGGUAGUGAGGAGAGUAGCGUGAAUGCUACUCUCAGGUCCUAAAUUGUCCCUGCCUUUUGUAUUGGAAAUCGCGCAGACAGACACAUCGAUGAAGUUAACGGCUAAAUCUAACAGAAUGGCCUCGCAUCUCGCUUUUAUGCACUUUAGUGGCCAAAACCAGACUUUUAAUAGUUGAGUAACCAAAAUUCGACGAUUGCAAAAGUUUAAUGACCAACCGGAUAAUUUGCUCGAAACUAAAUCAUGUCUCUAAUCUUUUGUGAUAAAAAGGAAAUGAAAGUUAGAUCCUUAGAUUUUGGUUUAAAUUCUACAAACAACACAGCGUUUUCUAAGAGCGAUGCAAUAGUUAUUUUGCACUGUACAUGGAGGUAAUGUAAGAAGGAAAUUCUGUCACAAAGGAACGCUAGAAAAACUUUCAAAACUAUCAUCAGAAUAAAAAGCUAUCCUAGUAGGACUGCACAAUUGUAUGAUGAACCAUUGCCCAUCUGUCGCGCCCCACUUUUUGAUGAAGUUGUGUAGUGUGUGAGUGUGUGUGAGAGUGAGUAGUGUGUAUGAUAUACAUGUGAACGUGUGCGAAAUGAAAAGUAAAAGGCCAUGGGACUUAAGAAUGCGACGAUUUGGCCAAACAAAGUUCAAAAAAGGGUUUUUUAAUGAAAAUGGAGUCGCCACUUGGUAUAGAGUUAGGGUGUACCAAAUCACCCAAAAAUGAUUUUUUGUUUUUGAAUGAAAAAAGUAAAUAAACCCUUUUAGAGAACUUUUGGGUCUACGUAACCAAAAAGAGGGAUCGGAGGUCACAUUUGAUGAGGGAGAAGGCAAAGGCAAGGCCUAAGGCACUCCCUCACCCUAGCCAAGCCUAGUUGCGUGAUUUAACCCAACUUUUCCUAAUUUUUCUACCCAAUGUAUGUAUCGCGUGUUGGAUAUGUCUAUAUGAAUGCAAAAACCUAGACCUAGGGGGACAUGGGGGAAAUUUCUCUUCAAAGGUUGAGUGGUGCCAAUCACAUUAAUUGUGAAGCCCAAUAAUGACCCUUUGGAGAGGUCAUACAUAAUCCUAAAUGACGUAAAAAAUGAGUGGAAUGUAUGCCAUGUGAAAAUGUGAGUUUGUGUGAAGUAAAAAAAGUGAUAAAAAUAAUAGGACAUAAGUGGAGGUGUGCAAAUGUAUUUACAAGGUAAGGUGAGUAAAGAAUGAUAAUGUGAAAAAUAACAUAAAGUGCAUGUGUGCGAGUGAUAUGGUAUAAAGUGUGAGUAGUUAAAUGAAAACGUCCAAAAGUAGUGUGAAGUGAGAAUGUGAAAAAAGUGAUAGAAUAUAAAGUAAGUGUAUGUGAUAGUGAAUGAAUAAAAUGCAUGAACCCUAGAGGAAUGCAAGCAAAACGGGUACGGGGACUCCUAACUUUGUGACUUUAAUCUUCCCUUUGAUUAGAAGGGGGAACUAGCGUGCUAAGGCUAUUGGGUAGCCACACUCGCUCGUUUCCCUUAUCGAAAGGGGACCCUCAAGCAAAUGUACCCUAUAACUAGCAUGAGAUGCAAAAAUCUAAGAUGAAGGGGAAGGGGUUAGAGGGGCAUGCCAAAUGCUAGAAAAACUAGGAAAAAUGCAUGAAAUGAAGUGAAACAUGCAAGUGUGUACUAACAAGAAGAGAUACCUAAGGGUCUAGCGUUGGACUAGCCCAUACCUAGGAAUUCUUACUAGCAUUGGACUAGUGGAAAACGGAACAAUGAGCCACAACUGGCGUUGGACUAGUGUGGUGACGGGAAAGGGGGCAACAACUAGCGUUGGACUAGUGUGGUGACGUACAUUCAUCCAUCAUGUUCAUGCAUGGCUAUGGAAAGUGAAUAGACAUGUCAAUCACCUAUAAACACAUAGCACAUAACACUUAGCAUGCUCGACUAGAUGCAAGAACCUAAUAAAGCCAAUUAACACAUAGCAACAAAGGCAAAUAACCAAGCUAAUGAACCUAUUACAUUUGCUAACUAAAACCAAAGGGGAAGGGGAAGAAUGGACAAGAAUGCUCGCCAAGCACUAUCUAUUACAAGCCAAGAGGUGUACACAUACCCCAUUAAAAGAAUAGCUUAAAUAAAAGCAAAAGUAAAUGAAAUAAAUGAAAGGAAUUAAGAGAAGGCAAGGAAAGCGAAGUAGACAUGCAAUUUUCACUUAGCACGUUGGAUCACGUAGGAGAGACAAAAAAGAUAAAAGAAGUUAUACCUCCCUCGCGGUGGUAAUCAAAUGAAGUAAAAAUGGCUUCAAAACAAUAAAAAGGUCAAGGUACCACUUUAUUUAAGAAAAAUUAAAAGAAAUGUGCAAAACAAAGCUCAUUUGAUCAUAAAGUCCCUAAAGUCAUGUCUUAAGCGCAAUUGAAGCAAAGCAUGGUAGUUAAUUGAAGCAAACAAGCAAUGAAGUUGCACAAAUUAAAAUUACCAAGGACCAAAUUGAUGAAAUUAUUUAAUUGAUUGGGUCAUAGUGAAAUGAAGGGAGACUUGGGGGGUCAAAAUGCUAAAUUCAGAAGUAUUUGCAUGCAUGCAUACGUAGGAAACAAAAUUUUCUGCAAUGAACAUCUUCUUGAAAUUAAAACAAUCGCUGGCUGCAUUUCCAUCUCAUACACAAAUUCUAAGCAGCUUUGACUAAUCCUUUCAUCUAUCCAAACUUUGGAUUAAGCAACAAAACAAACAAGUUCCACAUCUAACAAGCAAAACAUGGAAGGAAAUUGUACAAACACUUAUGAAACCUUUAUGCAAGAUGGAAGAAGAUUGCUGCAAUUUGGAAGCUUUGGCAAAGGGUGGAAUCUUUUGGCAACAAAACUAGUUGUGACUUUCAUUUCCAAAUGCAGAUUUCAGACCCAAAGGAUAGCUUUGUUCAAAAACAGAAAAUGUUAACCAAAAUCAUAGUGUGGAACUAAACCACAAGGACAGAAACUUUGACAGCAAAUAAGCAAAAACAUAACAAAAACUGAUGCAAAUUUCUUGGAAACUUUCAUGCAAAAUGAUCCAGCUACCUAUUGUCUAUGUGGCCAGCAAGCAUUCAAUUCCAACUCAAGUAUGUUUAGACCCAAACACCCAAAACCAAUCUAAGCAUCAUAACAACCAUUUCAACAUUCAAACAAACCAAAACAUAGAAGAAAAAUCAUGCAAAGGCUGGAAAAUUCUAGGCAAAAGGUUCGGCAAUCCUGACUUGUUCAUUUUCAGCAAACAUUCGACCAUAGCUCAAGUGUUUUUGGACCCAACCAUGCAAAACUCAACACUAAACUUUCCAUUUUCUUCCCUUCUACAUAAGAUUAAGUAUGCAACUUAAGUGCGAAAACUACAAACCAGUCACGAAGAAGAAAACAUCACAGAGAAAUGUAGCAGCUUUUUCUACUUGGGCCUAGAUAUGUUUGGGCAUGAGAACUCAACCAAACUUCACUAAUUUAACAACCCAAUGUCAUUAUCCUUACCAAAACGCCAUCAUCUACCCUUCCUCAUAACUGGUUUCAUUUCUGCAAUUUCGCAAUGCUUUGAAAAACUUUUUCUGGUUCCCUAAAACAUAUCAUUCAACCAGCCAACCAUUUGCAAAUUUGUCACCGUGAGAAAAACCAAAGCAAACAAGUCAAGAUUCAAUUAAGGCUCAUAGCAAAAUCAUCCAAAAUAUCAAUAACAACCCAUGACCUCAAUUUGAAGACAACAGCCUCUAAGGAGCCUGAAUCUAAUCGUACUUCAUAUCUGGUCUUCCUAUUUGCAACAAAGUGCAGAUUGAACUUAGCAAAUCAUGGCCAUAAUCAUUUAAUAACAGAAACAAUACAGCCGGGUCAAAGCUUGCAUUUUUAUUGCUGGUUUUUAUCUAGGACCGAAAAUAGAAACAUAGACUAUGGGAACAAAACAAGUAGCGGAACUCCUGGUUGCGAAAAAAAGGAUAAAAGAAGAGGCUACCUUGAGAAAUGAUUGAGCUUCUCAGUAGACCGACGAAACCUGUUGCAACCUCUUUGCAGGAGACCGCCAGUGAAAGCCCAGAGAUCCGGCAACCCUGGUUCUUUUCGCUCCUCUUUGCAGUUUUCCUUUUCUACGCUGCAAGGCUUUGUUGCUCUCACUGUUUUCCCCUCCAAAACUCUUGCCUCUUUCUGUUUAGCCGUCUAAAAUCUCUGGUUCUUAGCUCACUCUCUCUGGUCUUUCUUUUCUUUUUCCCUUUUAGCUCUGCCGCCGUUACUCCAGCUCUCUCAUCUCUCAACCAGCCGUCAAGUCCUCCCUUCGUUUCUUUCUUUUUGCCGUCCCCUUCUCUACCCUUUCUUAUGCAGCCGCCAACCCUCCUUCUCUCUCUAUCCUCGAUUUGCAGCCGUCACCCCUCUCUGUUUUCUAUCUCCCAAAGUGGUUCUCCCCUCCUCUUGCUCUCGGCUCUUUUUCCUUUGCUGUUGAUUUUCUUAGCCACCAACCUUCAAUCCCUCCUCUCUCCUUUCGGCUGCCCUUCUCUUUCUUUUUAUAUGGGGGAACCUCAACCCUAAACCCUCAACCAUUUCUUCUAUAUUUGCAGCCAAAGGGCUCACCGAGCCCUCCUUUGCAAGCUGCGAAAAAACGCAGCUUGCAUGUCGCGUAUCUUCUCUUUUUUUUUUUGAAAUUAAUUAAAACAAAAUUGAUAAUAAAAAUAAAUAACAAAAAUAAUUUAAUUAACAUUGGAUAAAAAUAAAUGAACUAGAAAUAAUAAAUAGCAAAAUCCAUUUUCCUUUUUUAUUUUCCAUCAUCAUUUUUCCUCUUUCUCUUUUUUCUCAAGAAAACAUUGAAAUUAAAUCACAAACAACCAAAUCAUAUUUUUGAAUGCUUUUCUUUCUUCUUUUUUUCUUUUCGAGAAAUUUUAUGCUAGAAAGUUUAAAAUAAAAAUAAUAAAAUAAAACUAAAAACUAAAAAGUGAAUAAAACUUAACACGACAAAUAAAAACUAAGAAUUAAAUAGUAAAUGAAAUCACACUAAAAAUUUGGUGUCUACAGUUUGCCCCUCUUUGUCUGAGUUUUGAAAAAACUUGAGACAAAGAAGUAGACACCAAAUGAUUACCUGUGUUAUUUUGCUGCAAAAUGAUUCCAACGAACAGGAAUUCUCAAACGGGACUGACCCGAACAUGAAUUUAAAACGGGACUAACCCGAACAAGUUUUAAUAAUCAUGGGACUGACCCGAAUCAAACGAAAAUCAUGGGACUGACCCGAAUAAAACGAAAAUCAUGGGACUGGCCCGAAUAAAACGAAAAUCAUGGGACUGACCUGAAUGAAAUGAAAAUCAUGGGACUGGCCCGAAUAAAACGAAAAUCAUGGGACUGACCCGAAUGAAAUGAAAAUCAUAGAACUGACCCGAAUAAAAUGAAAAUCACGGGACUGACCCGAAUGAAAUGAAAAUCAUGGGACUGGCCCGAAUGAAAUGAAAAUCAUGGGACUGUCCCGAAUAAGCCUUUAAUCAUGGGACAGACCCGAAUAAGCUUUUAAUCAUGGGACUGACCCGAAUAAGCUUUUAAAAUCAUGGGACUGACCCGAAUAAGCUUUAAAAUCAUGGGACUGGCCCGAAUAAAAUGAAAAUCAUGGGACUGACCCGAAUGAAAUGAAAAUCAUGGGACUGACCCGAAUAGGAAUUUAAAUGGGAUAGACCCACGGGAUAGACUCGGACAGAAAUUUAAAUGGGAUAGACCCAGACAGAAAUGUAAAUGGGAUAGACCCACGAGAUAGACUCGGAUAGAAAUGUAAAUGGGAUAGACCCACGGGAUAGACCCGAACAAAAUUUAAAAUCAUGGUGCACACUAGUGGGAUUGACCCACGGCUAGUGGCGAUGACAAAGAAAUGCACACUAGUGGGACUGACCCACGACUAAUGGCGAUAAAAGUGAAACGCUCACUAGUGGGACUGACCCACGGUUAGUGGCGAUAAAAGUGAAACGCUCACUAGUGGGACUGACCCACGGCUAGUGGCGGUGGAAACAAAAUGCUCACUAGUGGGACUAACCCAUGUUUAGUGGCAAUGAAAUAUGAAAUGCACGUUAGUGGGACUGAUCCAUGUUUAACGGCAAUGAAAAUGAAACGCGCGCUAGUGGGACUGACCCAUGUUUAGCGGCGAAGAAAACAAAAUGCACACUAGUGGGACUAACCCAUGUUUAGUGGCAAUGAAACAUGAAAUGCACGUUAGUGGGACUGACCCAUGUUUAACGGCAAUGAAAACUAAAUGCACACUAGUGGGACUAACCCAACGGCUAGUGGCGGUACAAAAUGAAAUGCUCACUGGCGGGACUCACCUCACGCUCCAGUGGCUGUGAAAAUGAAAUGCUCACUGGCGGGACUAACCUCACGCUCCAGUAGCGAUGUAAAUGAAAAUGCUUACUGGCGGGACUGACCCACGUUCCAGUAGCGAUGUAAAUGAAAUGCUCACUGGCGGGACUAACCUCACGCUCCAGUGGCUGUGAAAAUGAAAUGCUCACUGGCGGGACUAACCUCACGCUCUAGUGGCAAUGUAAAUGAGAAUGCUUACUGGCGAGACUGACCCACGUUCCAGUAGCUGUGAAAAUGAAAUGCUUACUGGCGGGACUGACCCACGUUCCAGACUGGCGGGACUGACCCACGCUCCAGUGGCUGUGAAAAUGAAAUGCUCACUGGCGGGACUAACCUCACGCUCCAGUGGCUGCUCCAGUGGCGAUGUAAAUGAAAAUGCUUACUGGCGGGACUGACCCACGUUCCAGUAGCGAUGUAAAUGAAAUGCUCACUGGCGGGACUAACCUCACGCUCCAGUGGCUGUGAAAAUGAAAUGCUCACUGGCGGGACUAACCUAACGCUCCAGUAGCGAUGAAAAUGUCUUGACAAUCGGACAGUGGGAUCAAACCCGAGCCUGCCGUGAUGAACUUGAUUUGAUUUUUUGAUUUUUUGAUUUUUUUGAUUUUUUAUUUUUCCUGACUGAGAGAGACUUGUCAAAAUAAUUUACCCUAGUGUAGGGCCCUUUUCCCUUCUUUCUUCUCUUUCUUCGGCAUCGGCCUUCCACAACUCAGAAGCUAUUUCGUCGAUUUUAACUAUGAAUACCUGCACAGGGGGCUUACAUGCACUCAAAUUUUCAUGAAAAGGGCAGCGUGAUUGAUUUGAAAGUCUUGCCUGACUCUUUGACGAAAUCCUCAAACGAGCUAUAAAAAAUUUGCCCCAGUGUGGGCUUAUUUUGUGAAAUCUUGCAAAUAAGAAUUUUGCCCCAGUGUGGGCCCAUUUGAUUGCAAAAAUUGGUUUGGAUGCAUCUUCAUUUAUUUGAACAAAGUAAGAAACUGUGCUUCCUAUAUAAUGUGAAGAAAUCUGAACGUCUUGGUCAAAAUCACACAGAAAAUUUCAUGAUGAGUUUCUCAAAAUAAUGCCAAAUUACAAAAGAUUUCUUCCUCACUUUAGCAUCGAUGCUUUGGGUAAUGGGUGUUAUGUCUGAUUUGGAAAUGGGAGGUCAAGAUUUGUCUUAUUCUUGUGCCCAAAUUGUACGAAAUCCCUUCAAUAUCACAUUUUAGUGAAAGCAAAUAGUUUGUCACCCUUAUUUCUUAAGAAAAUUGAGUCAACAUAUAAGCUUUAAGCUUGCAACAAAUUGGUAGAAAGAUAGCUAAACCUGUGAAAACUGGUUAUACCCCCAUGAUCACAAAUGAUUGGUGGAUUUCUUAUGAGCAUAAUCCUCACUUUGGAUUGUCAUGAAGGAAUAAGUCAACGAUGAACUUUAUUGGCUUGUAAUGUGGCUUGAAACGAUAGUUAAAGGAUAAGUCUUUCAAGAACAUUGCACCGAAGAUCGCAUUUUCCCCAAAAUUGUCCCUAUUCUGAACUCAAAGAUCUCAGAAUUUGUUUGCAUUUUCUCAACAUUCACCAGAGAUUUUCAGCAUCAAAUCUUUUGCAUUUUUCCUUUGCACUCGCUCUCUUUUUCCUUUCCUUUUUCCUUUUUUUUUCCCAAAAAAUGCCCUCGCGGGGUUUCACAUGAAGAGCAGUGUCAACCUCACACCUAAUCAAUUCAGAAAUACAGCUAAAAUUUCGGCAUCAGAGAUUUCCUUGACAAGGCCAGUGCAAAGAACAGAAGUCAGGACUUUUGGCUUUGUAAUGGGGUCAGGUGGGGUGCUUAGAAAAGUUAAGGCUUGAAACGGAUUUCAAAAGUGGUUUAAAGAAUCUGAGAUCGCAUUGUUGCGCCAACCCUAUUUUAGGGUUAAAUCAGGAUUUGCCCCAGUUUAUGCUCAACUGAGGCUUUUUCUUUCAUUUUUCUUUCUUCUUUUGAUUUUUCCGGCUUUUUGCCAUUCUUUGAAACUUCACAAAAUUUGUCCCAGUUUAUUUUUGAACUGAGGUUCUCUUUUCUUCUUUCGCUUUUGAUUUUGUUGCUUUUCACUUUUCCGCUUCUUGAAAUUUUCCUUUUCAACUCAAACUUGCCCCAGUGUGGGGUUUGCGAUUCUCAGGGGUUUUGCCAAACGAAAUAAUUCAUUCUGAAGGCUCAAAAGGGAUAACUAGGGAUAGAAUGUCUGAUUGGAAAAGAAAAGGGCCUGACUUUUAUCCUGUUCCUUACAAUAACUUUGAAAGGAAACUUUCAUUAAUGCGAAAUUUUUGGCAUGUAUCUGAAUUAAUUGACUGAGAAAGACUCUUGCUCAUUCAUAUCUAUGAAACAUAGGCGGUCCGUGCGGACAAAUCUCUUUCUUUUUCUUUUCUUUCAAAAUUGAAACCCAAGUGGAAUCACAUCUCCCCAAUUUGCGGUUCCCUUUCCCCUUCUCUUUUUUUCUUUUUCAAAAUUUUCCAAUCUCCUUCCCCAAUGUGGGGUGCGAUCAUAUGUGCACUCGAAAAGAACCACCAAUUUUAGCUCAGAUGAGGUUGCAAGGGAUGAUCAGUGUUUAGGUUGUAGAAACGACGGCCAAAGCAUCAUUCUUACACCUCAUGACAACCAAAGUAACGAAAUGGUUAUUGCAAAUCCCUUCCCCUUUUUUGAUUAUUUGAAAAUUUUUCAAUAUAGGGUAGCGAUCAUUAGGGCUCUUGUUUGAAACGAAAUUAUUCUUUCAAAGGCUAAAAUGGGAGAGGAAAUGAUAAAAUAUGUAUAGGUGGGGAAGAAUGCUUGAAGUAUCAUUCCAAAUUUUCAAAACAAACAAAAAUAAUGCACAUUUUGCUUUCACUUAGAUGUGAUUGAAUCGGAUUAGACACCGCGAACAUUUUCAAGCAAAAGUUGCCCCAAUUUGCAAUUUAUCAAUCAAUGUGACUGAUUUAUUGGGGGGCCAAUAGAAGUAGGCAAAAUAUGAAUUGUACAGUGAAGGUGAAAACAGGUAUCGUAUUGGGUCCUUUGAGUGACCUCUUUUAAUUUUGAGCACUCUUAUUGUAUACCUCGGAUCACCAAUAUAGUGUAUACAUUUGUGAGUUUUCAGGCUGGAGGUUGAAAAAACUCUGAAUUCGGUCUUAUUUCUUAAAAUUCAUCAUGAAAUCUCUUAAUGAGCUCAAUAAAGAAUGAAAUGUACACGAGUAUUAUACAAAACAAAUAAUUGUUUGAACAAAAGUUUCGUUAUUGCCAAUGUUUGAAAAAUUUUAAAAGCAAUACAUAUGAGAAACAUUCUAAAGAACUCCUUUACACAUGUAUACACACUUUUCCCUCUUAAUAGCCCCCUUUCCCUUUGAGUAAUGAAAUCUCUUAAAUGUUUUACACGAGCGCCUUCAGAUGAAUUUUCAAAUUCACAUUUGUAGGGCCUGCCCAAGAAUCAAGUAAUUUUCAAACUUUUACCAGAUCAAAAUUGUUAUAGAAUGAUAUUUUCACCUUAUUGAAAUAUUCUUAUGAGUGCAAGGGGGAAGGGGGAAAAAUAAAAGAAAAAUACCCAGAGUUAGUAAUCAAGACUAUAAAAUCGGUAUGCAUGCCCUAUGGGGGAACCCUUUUUGUGCCAGGGGUAGGCCUAGCAUGAAAAUGCAAUCCUCUAGGGUAGGCACUAUACCAUACCUGAUGGAUCUGAUCAACUCAUUGAGUGAAAAAUAAUUUUUUUAAAAAAAAUUGGUCAAUUGGAGUGACGAGAGACACUUGUCAAAGUGAGAUCAACGUCCGAAUGGAUUGAUCACUUUUGAUCAAUACAAGAAUUUGCAACAACGCACGGGUUUGACCUUGACGAACUUCCUAUCGAAGAUAUUGGAAUUCGUUGACCAAAUUUUCUCAGUGAAACACGGGUCAAAACCCCAACUGAUCAAAUGGCUGAAUGCAAUGGAUGGCUUUCUAAAAAAUCGACUAGGUUUCCCAAUUUGAAAUUCGACCUUAAAACCCUAAUUGGUCAAAUGGGUUGAAUGAAUUUGACCGUUUAUUUAAAAUCGACUGGAUAACCCUAAAAAGGAAACGGGUCAAAUGAAUUGAGUGAUAUUUAAAAACUUACUCAAAAUUGAUCGAAUCAUCCUAAAAAAGGAACUUGAUCGAACGAAAUUGAGAACUUUAUUCAAAAAUGGACCGGUUCAUUCUAAAAAAUGAAAUUGGUCAAAUGAAUUGAAUGAAAUCGAGAAUUUAUUCAAAAUUGACCAGAUCGCCCUAAAAGGGUAAACUGGUCAAAUGAAUCGGACGAAAUUGAUGAUUUAUUUCAAAAUUGCUCGAAUUGCCUUAAAGUGAAAGAAUUGGCAAAAUAGAUCGAUUGAAUUGUCCGGCCAUUUCAAAAUUAUUGAGAUGUAUUAGUCUAUGACCUUCUAAAAUCAAAUUUUGGCCUCAAUUCACUUAUUGUCUCAGUAGUAAGGAAUUAUUUGUGAAUUUCUUCAAAUUAAUGUCCUUUACGCAAGGGAUUUUUACCAAUUUUUGAUAAAAUGGCCAAAAAGUGAUUAUUAGACGCUCAUAUUCCAAAGAUCGCUCCAUGAAAAUGAUCGGAUCCCACUUUACCUUGUGUACUACCCCUUUGGAUGGUAUAGGAAAUAUAAACGUGCAAGUCUCAUUGGAUUAUAUAUCCGAGACACAGGGCGGUUUAUUCUUAGCGCAGGAUCACCUAAAUGGCAUUCCCUUUCUAGUGUUUAUGCAUGAUGCCAGAUUAUUAAAACGAUAAAACAUGCAGUCUGACAUGAACUAUGGCCUAAGGAACCCUUUAUUUGCCAGGGUAGGCCUAAAAUGGCAUGGCAUAUUAAUUUACGAAUGCAAUAUACCAAAAUCUUUAAACGUGCAAUGGCCUAUCUACAAGGGCAGGUUUUAAAAGAAGGUCAUGCCAUACCUCCUAUUUGCUAGGGUUUGUGAAUGCAAUGGGGACACAAAACCAAGAAAAGUUAAUUCAGCUAGAUAAAUACACAUAACACAUUGUAGCAACGAGAUCAAUACAAAGAAAUAAAGCAAUAAAAAGGAAAAAAGGGGGUUGGAUCCCUCCCCUCGUGAAUAGUGUCCCUAACUCAGGAUAAGGCCGACUCUAUCCUUGGCAAGCUAUCAUGGACGCAUGAGGUAUUGGUUCACUAAUGCAACUAGACUCGAUAGGUUUUAGGUCCCCGAGCCUUCAGACUUGGAAACCAAGGGUUAUCAAUCCCAAGGUCCUUUGUCGGUGGCUCGAGCGAUUUCCCAGACAUUGCUACGCACACAUCGUGUCACGGCUACAUGUCAUGAGUGAAUCUAUCAAAACUCCUCAAUCUUCAAUCAAAAGCUAAAGGCUAUGAACCCAAAGCUUAAAAUGGAAGAUCGAGUGACUCCUCGGAUCAUGCUACGCACACAUCGUGUCGCGAUCACAAGUCCAAGUGAGUCGCCUAAAAUCCUAAUAGGGUGGAGUGGCGUAACAAGCCACUAAAAAAAAAAUAAAUGGAGGGUGAAAAAUUUAAAACGUAUGCACGUAUGCUAGUGCUCGUUUGGAGGGGAGGGAUCAAGAACCAACGCGAGGCUCUAGGGUAUGUCCCCCACCCAAAUGCAAUGCAAAGCGCGACAUAAAACAAGUAAAAUAUACAUCCAAUCAACCAAUCGUACAUACGUCAGUAAGGGAGUAGUUUGAUACGCGUACGAGGCAAAAAGUCCUAAAAAAGGAAAAAUGCAACCCUAAUACCCAAAUGACAUGCAUAAAAAGGGUAGAAAAGGGAAAAGAAUAGCCAAAUCAAAUGCUUGGACCCACUUAGUAAGUUCCCAGUGGAGUCGCCAACUGUCGCGCCCCACUUUUUGAUGAAGUUGUGUGGUGUGUGAGUGUGUGUGAGAGUGAGUAGUGUGUAUGAUAUACAUGUGAACGUGUGCGAAAUGAAAAGUAAAAGGCCAUGGGACUUAAGAAUGCGACGAUUUGGCCAAACAAAGUUCAAAAAAGGGUUUUUUAAUGAAAAUGGAGUCGCCACUUGGUAUAGAGUUAGGGUGUACCAAAUCACCCAAAAAUGAUUUUUUGUUUUUGAAUGAAAAAAGUAAAUAAACCCUUUUAGAGAACUUUUGGGUCUACGUAACCAAAAAGAGGGAUCGGGGGUCACAUUUGAUGAGGGAGAAGGCAAAGGCAAGGCCUAAGGCACUCCCUCACCCUAGCCAACGCUAGUUGCGUGACUUAACCCAACUUUUCCUAAUUUUUCUACCCAAUGUAUGUAUCGCGUGUUGGAUAUGUCUAUAUGAAUGCAAAAAUCUAGACCUAGGGGGACAUGGGGGAAAUUUCUCUUCAAAGGUUGAGUGGUGCCAAUCACAUUAAUUGUGAAGCCCAAUAAUGACCCUUUGGAGAGGUCAUACAUAAUCCUAAAUGACGUAAAAAAUGAGUGGAAUGUAUGCCAUGUGAAAAUGUGAGUUUGUGUGAAGUAAAAAAAGUGAUAAAAAUAAUAGGACAUAAGUGGAGGUGUGCAAAUGUAUUUACAAGGUAAGGUGAGUAAAGAAUGAUAAUGUGAAAAAUAACAUAAAGUGCAUGUGUGCGAGUGAUAUGGUAUAAAGUGUGAGUAGUUAAAUGAAAACGUCCAAAAGUAGUGUGAAGUGAGAAUGUGAAAAAAGGGAUAGAAUAUAAAGUAAGUGUAUGUGAUAGUGAAUGAAUAAAAUGCAUGAACCCUAGAGGAAUGCAAGCAAAACGGGUACGGGGACUCCUAACUUUGUGACUUUAAUCUUCCCUUUGAUUAGAAGGGGGAACUAGCGUGCUAAGGCUAUUGGGUAGCCACACUCGCUCGUUUCCCUUAUCGAAAGGGGACCAUCAAGCAAAUUUACCCUAUAACUAACAUGAGAUGCAAAAACCUAAGAUGAAGGGGAAGGGGUUAGAGGGGCAUGCCAAAUGCUAGAAAAACUAGGAAAAAUGCAUGAAAUGAAGUGAAACAUGCAAGUGUGUACUAACAAGAAGAGAUACCUAAGGGUCUAGCGUUGGACUAGCCCAUACCUAGGAAUUCCUACUAGCAUUGGACUAGUGGAAAACGGAACAAUGAGCCACAACUGGCGUUGGACUAGUGUGGUGACGGGAAAGGGGGUCACAACUAGCGUUGGACUAGUGUGGUGACGUACAUUCAUCCAUCAUGUUCAUGCAUGGCUAUGGAAAGCGAAUAGACAUGUCAAUCACCUAUAAACACAUAGCACAUAACACUUAGCAUACUCGACUAGAUGCAAGAACCUAAUAAAGCCAAUUAACACAUAGCAACAAAGGCAAAUAACCAAGCUAAUGAACCUAUUACAUUUGCUAACUAAAACAAAAGGGGAAGGGGAAGAAUGGACAAGAAUGCUCACCAAGCACUAUCUAUUACAAGCCAAGAGGUGUACACAUACCCCAUUAAAAGAAUAAUUUAAAUAAAAGCAAAAGUAAAUGAAAUAAAUGAAAGGAAUUAAGAGAAGGCAAGGAAAGCGAAGUAGACAUGCAAUUUUCACU
rnacentral:lncRNA from 1 species